rnacentral:lncRNA from 1 species
CUUAACUUUUGACAAGAUAUUUUUUCUUGUUUGUGGGAUCCUCUUCCUCCACCUUUUUUUGACUUUUUAUCUUUACCCCAAUACAAAUAACACAAAGAGGAGUUAAGAAAUCUAUCAAGAAAGAGUGGGAAAGCAAAGAUAGAGAGAACAAAAAUGGAGUGGAAAAAAAUUGCUUUAGUUGCAAUGAUGGGGAUGUUGCUUAUGGCUACUUUUACAGAGUCAGUCGGUUUGGGCGUGGAUGAGGAGAUCAUUCAAUUAGUUUCCGACGGAGUGAAUGAGUACUCACAAAAUAUUGGAAAGGAUACUGCACCCGGCUGCCCUCGAAUCCUUAUGAAGUGUAAAACCGACAGCGAUUGCUACCCUGGCUGUACUUGCAAACCGAUGGGCUAUUGUGGUUGACUCCUAGCCGUGUCGUUUCGGAUCUUCUACUGUGUCCUUGUUUGUGUGUGUUUGAUUUCUAUUUUAUGAAAAUAAAUGCAUGGUUUUGUGUGUCUUUCUCAUCACUCUUUUCUCUCCUGUCUAUGAGUUAGUGUGAUCAUAUCAGUGGCAUGCUUGAUAUCCCAUCAAGCUGUUUUGUUGUAAUAUUUAUUAUGUUUUCUAUCUCACUAUGGUCUUUGAGGAUAUCUUCCCUAUCUCCUUCCAUGAACUUUAAGUUUCAUUUUCUUUAACCAUUCUUCCAUAAAUUUAAAGUUUUAUUUUUUUUAACCAUUAAAUACUCAAAGAUUAACCGUUGAAUCAGUAUUUUGUUGGCCAAGCAACUUGCCAGUCCACUGAUGGAAGCAUGGAUUAUUUGGGUAAGUAAUUAUUUAGUUUGACUGGGAAAUAUUGAAGAAAUAUGGUUCAAUGGUGAGUUUAGUUUGUGGGGCAAGCUAAAACUCCCUCUCUAAUAUGUGGGGUUUGGAGGUGUAAGUUUUUUCUAAGAAGUUUGGGUGUGUUGUGUUACCCUUUUUAUUUGGCUCCUUUGCUGUGUACGGGGGGGACGAGUGUCGACAUUAUGGAUCUAAUGUAUGAGGCUAUCUUGGGUUAUUUCUUAAAUUGUGCUUACUUCGGUUGUGGAAGACUAGAUACUUGGCCGAAGCAGUUAUUUGAACUCCAUAAACAUUUCGAGUACUCUUCACUAAACCUCCCUCUCUCUCCAAUAUAAUAUCGCAUCAACUCCAUGAGAAAGUCCUUCAACAUUUGCUAUUGCACCAAAACCACAUUUUUGCUCUUCCAUUUUGGCCAACUACCGACUACGAAGUAGAUGACUGGGUUAAUGAUAAUUAUGUUUUAGGUACACGACUUUAUAACACCAUUUUUUAGAUUUCUUUGGCAAGUACUGUGGCUAGUUUUUCCAUAUUAUUUUAAAAAAUAUAACUUAACCCUCUCGAGAUGAUAAACAGUUUUUUAAUGUUUCGUUGAAUUAGGUUUGAUAUAUUCACUAAUUUUGAGGAGUUCUUGAAGCAAUCUUUCUUAUAUUUGAAAUAAUAGUAAAAAUAAACAAGGUUUGGACCAUAACCCUUUUCCUAAUCUCCUAAAUCUCCAUCUCAAACACACAGCCCUUAAUAUUCUUGGAGUUUGAUAUAUAUAACAUUAAACUAUAUGAUUAAAUAUUAUACUUGAUCAAACGUAAUAUUUACGGUGAAAAUUGAUAUUUUCGUAAAAAAAAUUCAUUGAUAAAUCAAUCAAUAAUUAGUUUCAAUGCAGAGUUCUCUACACCACUGAGAAUCUCAUCUCCAGCAUCAAGGUUUUACUUUUCAUGAUAGUUCUCAAACGCUUCUACAAAUUUUACUAAUUAUUUGGUGAUCAGUUGAAGGAUAAGAAAUAUAAUGAUGAAGAUAGAUAGAUUAUUGAAUAGAUGAUCAAAACUUUCAGAAAUUUCAGUGUUGACUGGUCACACUUCUCAAGGUACUAAGAUCUACUACAAGUCCGUUGCUAUUGUUAUUUAUUUUAGUUAACUUUGAGGAUAAAAACUAGGAGGUGGUUUAAAAGAUGAUCUAUUACAAAUAUAAAUUAAAUAUGCAGUGGGAUAAGAUAGGAUCAGGACGUCUGCUCAAACUAGACUAUAAAAUAAUUAUACACUAGUUAACAGAGAUAAAUAUACAAAUGAGAGUGUAAUUUUAACUUUUACCAUGCUUCAAGGAUGGUAUUUGCAAUUUAUUUCUUUUCUACUUUGAGCAUCUUAACCUCGAAAAUAUAAAUAACAGUGUAUUUAAAUAACUAAAUUUCCAUGUUUUGUUUUCCUAGUUGUUACACACCAAAUCAUCCCACUACAGACCCUCCUCGUUUUUCUUACAUAAUUCUUAAUUAUUUAUUCUGAGUGAUAUCAAAUAAAUAAGGGGUUUCUUUAUAAUAAAAAAUACAAAUCAAUGGUCCCUUUUUUUCUUUUUUCUUUUUUUUACAAUUUCUCAAUAAAAAUAAUGCACCCAAAUGAGUUGUUCUCUCUAUAAAUAUAGAGAGUUGAGAUCAUUGAGAUGGUGUCAAGAAAGAGAGAGAAGCAAAGAAGGAAAAAAUAAUGGAGUGGAAAAAAGUUGCUUUAGUUGCAAUGAUGGGGAUGUUGCUUAUGGCUACUUUUACAGAGUCAGUCGGUUUGGGCGUGGAUGAGGAGAUCAUUCAAUUAGUUUCGGACGGGCUGAAUGAGUACUCACAAAAUAUUGGAAAGGAAACUGUAGGCUGCCCUCGAAUCCUUAUGCCGUGUAAAUCCGACCACGACUGCUUAAGUGGCUGCACUUGCAAACGAAACGGCUAUUGUGGUUGACUCCUAGCCGUGAUGUUUCGUUCGGAUCUUCUACGGUGUCUUUGUUUGUGUGUGUUUUCUAUUUUAUGAAAAUAAAUGCAUGGUUGUUGUGUGUCUUUCUCAUCACUCUUUUCUCUCGUGUGUAUGAGUUAGUGUGAUCAUAUCAGUGGCAUGCCUGAUAUCCCAUCAAGCUGUUUUGUUGUAAUAUUUAUUAUGCUCUCUAUCUCACUAUGGUCUUUGAGGAUAUCUUCCCUAUCUCCUUCCAUCAACUUUAAGUUUCAUUUUCUUUAACCAUUCUUCCAUGAAUUUAAAGUUUUAUUUUUUUUAACCAUUAAAUACUCAAAGAUUAACUGUUAAUCACUCAAAAUUCAUUUUUUUUAAACUAUAGUUUUGAGUGUUUAUCAUAUACUACAUCAUUUUAUAUAACAAACACCUUCACGUGGAUGUGGGCAAAUCAUAGUGAAGCUUGAGAGGUUUCUUUGAAGAGAGUAAAGUAGAGAGACAGACGGACCAAAUUUUCUUCUUUUCGUUUCUGUAAAAUCAAAAGAUAAAAAGUAACAGAAGUUUUACUUACCACGUGUGUAAUUUCAAAGCAGAAAACGUGGACUCACCUCCUCCAUGCAUUACAACCCUACCUCAACUUCAUGGAUCAGCUUUUUCUCCAUUCUUGGACCUGCAAAUCAGUAAAAAUAAGCUCAGGGUCACGGGAGUCGUGUACGACUUCACCCACCACAUGUUGUCGACCCCUCUACGACUUUCCCACCAUAUUUUUCACAUUAUUUAAAACAAUCCAACUUAUAUUAUAUUUGAAAUCCAAUCCUAAGACACCCUACAUAUGAAAGAGGUUUUUGUUGACAACCUGAUUUGUUUUAUAUAUGUUCGACUUGUUAAUGACUCAAUUUCCUUUUGUACUUAGGAAUAUCUGUCUUUUAAAAUUUUAAAUCUAAGAGAAAAGAAAAGAAAACAAGCUAAAAUUUAUAUAUAUUUUAUUUAGUUAUAGUAGAAGGAUGAAAUAACAGAGGAGGGAUGUGGAAUAAUGGAAAGGGGAAGCUCAUGGGUUGGGAAGGAAUAUAUGAAAAAAAAAUACUCUGCCCUCCAAUCUUCAAAAGCAUGCUUUAAGGUAUAUCUUUUUAUUAGAUUCUAUGUAUAAUUUUCUAUAAUAAAAUUGAGUAAAUGAUUUGUUUCCUCAAAUUAAGAUUUAAUUCCUUCUGAAAAGAUAACUUCAAGUCUUGUUAAGUUUAGGGGAGUCUAUAUACUACUAAAAUACCAUAUACUUAGCUAAGUUCUUAUUAAAGAGAGAGACAAUCAGGAGAAGUCUAAACGUUGUAAGUGCUUAAACUCUAAGCACAUCCUCUAGGAAUCUCUUCAAAAGGAAAUAAAUUUGUAAAAUAUAUUUUAUUGCACAUGCUAAUAUUAUAUAAUAAGAGGUUGGACACAAUAGUUGAUAGAUAAUUCCAAACUUGAACACAAUAGUUGAUAUAUCUAUUAUAUAUUGACAAGUCCCUUGCUAUUAUUGUUAUUUAUUCUAGUUGAUUUUGAGGAUAAGAACUAGGAGUGGUUGAAAAGAGAUGAUCUAUUAUUAAAAUAUAAAUUAAAUAUGUAUUGGGAUAAGAUAGUAUUUAGGAUUAUUCAAACUAUACCUUAAAAUAAUUAUAUACACUAAGCAGAGAUAAAUUAAAUAUGCAAAUGAAUUAUUGAAGCUCUCGCCUUUCACAUUUUUUGUUAUAAAUAGAAGGGAAAUACAAAGCAUAGGGAGGAAGAUAAUAUAUAGAAAGAGAGGAAGGAGAAAAGAAAAUAGUAAGAAAAUGAAGAGGAUGGAUAAGAACAUUGGUUUGGCCGUGGCCACGAUGAUGGUGAUGAUGCUUCUGAUUGCUACUGUCGUGGAAUCAGCCUCUCCUACCGAGAAGAUCACGAUGAUCGAACUCGUCACCAACCACCAUGCUGCCAGUUCUUUUCCACGCAAAAUGAUGAGAAAUGGGAAAGGAAACGGAGUUUGUCCCAUAAUAGGUCGGCCUUGCAAUCCUGAGUACGGCGGCUGUGGCCCUUUCUCCGACACUUGUGCUUGCUACACUGCUGGACAUUGUGGAGAUUUCGUUGGUUGAAGCUGCACUUUUGUGUUGUAUCUUUUUCCUUAGUCUUUCCUGUGUUGCGAUGUUUUUCCAAAAUAAAUAUGAUGAUCUCUCUCUCUUGUGAGAUCAAUGAUAAGUUUAUGUAACAAAAUCUUAUGUUCUUAGAUGCACAAAAUGGGAGGAGGAUUUUCUUUUCUUUUCAUUGCUUUCUAAAAUAUUGAAGCCUUUUAUCUUAUGACUUAACCUUUAAUAUAAAAAAAAAAUGUUACGACUCACAUAAAAAUCUACAUGUUUGUCUAAUUUUAUCUCGAUGUAUUGUAAAAGAAAAAAAAAUAAUAAAUUUUUUUCUAUAUUUAUAAAAUAUUUUGAACCCUUUAUUACAAUAUUAAAUUUUCAUCAAGUUUGGUAAUGGACAAGGAUGGGAUUGUCAUUUUCCUUAAUUUAAUUAAAUUCAAAUUUGCUGAUGUUAACACAUAGUAUUUAUAAUUACAUAUUAAAUUGUGUAUUUCAAACGUGGGUAAGACUUAAUCUAUUAAUUCAUUUUUUAUAAAUGUUUGUAUUAUUAUAUAUAUAAUUUAAAAUUUUUUUAAAAAAAUGAAUCAUAUUAAGGGGUGGUAGUCAAGACUUUAUUAUUAGGUUGAAGCAUGAACGUAACCUUUCCCGACGGCCAAUGAGGCAAAGUUCAAUUUUGCUUACGAAAAUGACCAUAUGAAUACAAAGUCAAAUAUAGAAACCAAAAACAACAUUUUCAAACCUUCUCUACAAACAUCUUCUUUAAGUAAUUUAGAACUAAAAAACAAAAUACGAUUAUUAAACGAGUCCACUUUUUUCUCUUUUACAAAAAUAAAAAUUCAAAACUGUUCUAUAUAUGUCUAUAUAUUUAUAUAUAUGGUGAUGGAUGUUUCUUGUUCUUUUAUCUUUUAUGAAAAACUAACCAAACACGUUGGUAAUUGAAAUUAAUAUAUAUAGAUAUGGAUGAUAAAAACAUUUACCAAACUUUAUCAAGAAGUUUGACAAACAGACAGCUAAGUUAUAUCAUCGAGUACAAGAUAUAUAUUCAUUAAUACAUAUAAUAUCUUCUAUUAUUAUUUGAAGACAUUGAAUCAAAAGAAACGAGAGCCUUUUUCUUUGCUCUUUUUUGUCUUUAUCACAUUAUUUUUUGACAGCUUUUGUAGUACAAUAAACAUGGGGCUAUAAGUCAUCUUCAUUUAUUGAGUCGAGACGACGAGCUAGUUCCAUUCUAAAAAGUAUGGGCUAAAACUAACCCCAACCUUCUACUUUACACAUAUUUUAUGACCCAAUUCUUUAAUUUAGCUCAUCUAUCAAGGGAUGAAUGUAAAUUAAAUAUAGUUGAGUAGGUUCAAAGUAUUAAAAAAUAUAACACAAUAUAUAACAAUUAGGUUCAAAGCAUCUAAUCUCACUAUUAGAGUUUAUAAAUGCAUUAAUAGGAGUGUAUUAACAAUAGUAUGUCACUGGUGCAACUUCCCUGGUCAAGAUGGGAUGUUUUGUAUUGAUCACUUAAUUGGAAACUCUUUAUGUUAUUUUCAUUUUUAUUACAGUUGUUAACAUGCUGUCAUUUUUUCUAUGAAAAUAUUAAAUUCUUUUCUAGAUCAGUUAGUGGUGCUAAAAAAUACUCAAGCCUUUGAAAUCCUUUUAUAUCAUUUUGAGAUCAUGAAUAUUAGUGUUUGUUGAUGCAUAAAACAUUUUUAAUCUCACGAGGCAACUAUGAUGUUUAAAUUAAAAUGCUGGGAGGAGAAGAUAAGAAAAUUUUGAAAUAGCUAUUAUGUUGACUUCAGAGGUUCUUUACAGAAUAAUAUAAAGAAAAAAAAAUAUGUAUACCUCCUGCCAAAAACCAAACCGACAGAACUCUAGAAUAAUCUCUUCUCUAUAAAUACCAGAAACCUAAGGGAAAAAAAUUUAAGUUGGAAAAAAAGCUUGGAAGAGGAAAGCACAUAAGGAAAUGGAGAGCAAGAAGAAGAGUAUCCACACUGUGGCGACCGUGGUGGUGGUGAUGGUGGCCUUUAUGAUCGCUACUCUAGCUGACUCGGCCACCAUAGCGACUGAGAAUGUGGCUGCUGGAGUCUUGGUGGACGGCGGUAGCCAUGCUUUCCCAAGAAAAAAUGUUGUGAAAAAUGGUGAAAAUGGAGUAUGUUUGGUAAAAGGUAAGGCUUGUAAAUCUCACAAAGACUGCCCUUCCGACUGUGCUUGUUACACCGCUGGCCAUUGUGGGGAUUGGGUUCUCUAAAAUUACUAUGUUUGUUCUCUCUCUCAGGAGAAGGUUAAUGAUGAUAUAAUUACAUAACAAAGUUCGUAUUUGAUGGAAGACGGGUUAUGUUAUUUGUCUCUUCUUCAUUUUGCUUUAUCAAGAAUAAUAUAUAUUUUAAAAAACUAAUUAAUCAGUUUAUAAUCUUUUAGAAGAAAAGAAAGGGAAAAUUAUAGCAUAUAUAAGAAGAACUAAGAGUUUUGAAUAUUAAACCGAAUCCAAUCAGUUAAAUACUAAUAUUCAACCUAAUGCAAACAGGGUAGAUUUGAAAAGGAGCUCGAGAGAUGUUCAUGGUAUAUAAACCAAAUGAGAAAACUUUAUUAAUAUUUGAAGUAAUUCAGGUGAAAUUAACGUUAAAAUCAAUAUGGCUUCUUCUUUCAAAGUGAACAGCAUUAAUAUUAUUUAUCGUAGAGCAAAAAAUUAAAUGAAAUUUGUUUCUAGUAAUAAUAAUAAGAUGGAGAACAAAGAAAACAUUGAAAUUUGAUAUCAUGCAAAGGUGAGGGUGAAGCGAUGGUUUAAAAUAUUUACUAAGUGACACAAAUUUUGGACGUGUAGGUGUAUGCCAAAUAGUUUAUAUAAAGUACUGGUUGACUAAAGAAUACCUUAUAUCCACAUAUUUUUCACUUUGAAAAUGUGUCCAAAAUAUAAAAUAUCCCAAACAUUAUUACACAGAUUUUAUUUAUGCAUAUUGUUGAAACUGGGAAAGUGAUCACAUACAGAGAGAGAGUGAUCCUCAUUAUAACAAAGACUUAAUAUAUACAAAAACACCAUGGUUUUGAGAGGUACCAUAUAAAUAAACACUAACCACAAUAUUCAAUAUGCUCUAGGCAAACACAACCAGGUAAGCAGUCAGAGUCAUGUUUGCAUUUCAUAAGGAUUCUAGGACACAUCAUUUCUUCUUCCUUAAACACUCCUCCCUUUAUCAUCAUCUUUCUUGGGCAUCCAUUAUUCAUAUCUUGAUCCGCUUGAGCUCGACCGUCAGAGACGAGUUUUAUCCAGUCCUUGUCAUCGACGACAAAAGAAGCCGAUGACGACAUCGCCACCUGCACUAUUAUUGUUGCCACUAUUGCCACCAUAACAAUCUUCUUGCUCUCCAUAUUUCUUCAAUUUUUGCUUUUCUGUUUUUUGAGUUUUUGUUUCAUGUUUGGUUUUGUUAAUUGAUUCCCAUUUAUAGAAGUGAAAAGGUUGUUUUCAGGGAUUAUGUUUACAAAAAAAAUUAAAUGCAGGGGUUUUAAUUUGUGUGGAAGUUUGAGAUUUUCUUACACAUUUUAAUUUGGUUUUGAAACUUGAAACUGAUGUGGGAUCUAUCCUCCAUCUGGCUGGCAAUAGCACAAUUUGUGUAAUUUUUACACUUUCUAUGUUUUGCCACUUCAGUAUUGUGCAUGGAAAUUUUCUUCCACGUGCUUGGGUUUACUUUUUCUACUUUAAUUUUGAAGAAGAUUACAAUAUAUUUUACAGUUUCAAAAAUCUUAUUUUGGCAUUUAGUUUGUGAAGUCGUCUCUCGUAAUUAUCUCACAAUAAUAGUCGUGAAAUGAGUAUCUCUCUCUCUCUAUAUAUAUAUAUAUGCAUGCAUAUAUAUGUAUACUCUCUACAUAUAUAUAUACUCUAAAAUUGGUAUUUUGCUUAACAAUCACUAGCAUCACUCAAUAUUGUAAAACUAGAGAAAGAGGUAGAGAUUUAUUAUUAAUCAAAAGUUAGUGAUGAUGACUAGUAAUAAAACCAAGCAAUGUCAUUACCGUGGAAAAGUACUUUUCAAACCAAAGCAGUAGGUGACUGUGUUUAGACUAUAAGGUACUUUGUGAAGCCUACAAACUUCACCAACGUUGGUGAGCAACACCAAGAGGAGUGAACAAACGACAUUUGUAGCCUAAUUUUGUGCCCAAAAUAAUUUUAUAACUAUUUUACUUACCUUGAAUGUAGAAGUUGAAGUAGAAGUCAAACCACAAACAACCUUUAAUUUCUUUUUACUAAAUUGCUUAUGGUAUAAAAUAAAUAUGGAAAGAGAGUUCUGAUAUUUGCUGUGUGAAAUUAAAAAUUAAUAAAAAGUGAAUGGUGAUAGUAGAAGGCAAAUCAGAACAGAAAAAGUAAAUAGGUAAAACGUAAAAAUUAUUAGUAAGAUUCCUAUAAGCGAUUUCGAGUUGUAAUUUCCUACUUAGUUAAUAUUUAUAAUAACUUGUUCUGAGUAAUUAAUUAAAUAACAUGAUCUAAUUAGUUAUGCAAUAUGAUUUUACUUCAAAGUUGAUUAAAAACAAUAUUUAUCGAUGUGAAGACAACGUUCACAAACAUGUUAAGCAAAGUAAUUAAUCUAACCUUUUGUUUCUUUAGAUUCAUAUCCUUAAUCAAGGUUAAAUCUUAGCAUCUGACCACAUAAAUAAGAAUUGGUUGUCACUCAAAACAUGAAGAUAUGAUUUUAUUAUAAUGGAACUAUGGUAAAAAAGAAGUCCAGUGACUGAUAGUGAUGAGUUUCAAUUCUCAUCAUGACAAGUACGUGAGAUCUUAUGAUAAAUUGUUACUUGUAAAUUUUUAAUGUUUUUAUUCAUGCUUUGAAGUAAUUCAGGUAAAAUAAACGUUAAAAUCAAUAUGGCUUCUUCUUUCAAAGUGAACAACAUUAAUAUUAUUUAUCGUAGAGCAAAAGAUUAAAUGAAUUUUGUUUCUAGUAAUAAUAAUAAGAUGGAGAACGAAGAAAAAAUAUUGAAAUUUGAUAUCAUGCAAAUGUGACGGUGAAGCGAAGGUCUAAAAUACUUAUCUUUGUGUGACGCAAAUUUUGGACGUGUAUCCCAAAUACUUUAUAUAAAGUACUGGUUGACUAAAGAAUAACUUAUCCACAUGCAUGUUUUUCACUUUGAAAAUGUGUCCAAAAUAUAAAAUAUCCCAAACAUUACACAGAUUUUAUUUAUGCAUAUUGUUGAAACUGAGAGAGUGAUCACAUAUAGAGAGAGCUAGUGAUCCUCAUUAUAACAAAGAGGUACGAUAUAAUUAACUAACACCACAAUAUCCAAUAUCCUCUAGGCAAACACAAUCAAGUAAGCAGUCAGAGUCAUGUUUGCAUUUCAUAAGGAUUUUAGGACACACCAUUUCUUCUUCCUUAAACACUCCUCCUUUUAUCAUCAUCUUUCUUGGGCAUCCAUUAUUCAUAUCUUGAUCCGCUUGAGCUCGACCGUCAGUGACGAGUUUUAUCGAGUCCUUGUCAUCGACAACAAAAGAAGCCGACGACGACAUCGCCGCCUGCAUUAUUAUCGUUGCCACUAUUGCCACCACAACAAUCUUCUUGCUCUCCAUAUUUUUUCAAUGUUUUCUUUUCUUUUUUCUUUUUGUUUCAUGUUUUGUUUUGUUAAUUGGUUCCCAUUUAUAGAAGUGAAAGAGGUUGUCUUCAGGGAUUAUGUUUACAAAAAAAAUUAAAUGCAGGGGUUUUAACUUGUGUGGAAGUUUGAGAUUUUCUUACACAUUUUAAUUUGGUUUUGAAACUUGAAACUGAUGUGGGAUCUAUCCUCCAUCUGGCUGGCAAUGGCACAAUUUGUGUAAUUUUUACACUUUCUAUGUUUUGCCACUUCAGUAUUGUGCAUGGAAACUUUCUUCCACGUGCUUGGGUUUACUUUUUCUACUUUUAUUUUGAAGAAGAUUACAAUAUAUUUUACAGUUUCAAAAAUCUUAGUUUGGCAUUUAGUUUGUGAAGUCGUCUCUCGUAAUUAUCUCACAAUAAUAGUCGUGAAAUGAGUAUAUCUCUCUCUCUAUAUAUAUAUAUGCAUGUAUAUAUGUGUGUAUGUGUGUAUAUACUCUCUCUCUAUAUAUAUAUACUCUAAAAUUGGUAUUUUGCUUAAUAAUCACUAGCAUCACUCAAUAUUGUAAAACUAGAGAAAGAGGUAGAGAUUUAUUAUUAAUCAAAAGUUAGUGAUGAUGACUAGUAAUAAAACCAAACGAUGUCAUUACCGUGGAAAAGUACUUUUCAAACCAAAGCAUGAGAUGACUGUGUUUAGACUAUAAGGUACUCUGUGAAGCCUACAAACUCCACCAACGAUGGUGAGCAACACCAAGAGGAGUGAACAAACGACAUUUGUAGCCUAAUUUUGUGCCAAAAUAAUUUUAUAAUUAUUUUACUUACCUUGAAUGUAGUAGUUGAAGUAGAAGUCAAACCACAAACAACCUUUAAUUUCUUUUUAUUAAAUUGCUUAUGGUAUAAAAUAAAUAUGGAAAGAGAGUUCUGAUAUUUGCUGUGAAAUUAAAAAGUAAUGAAAAGUGAAUGGUGAUAGUAGAAGGCAAAUCAGAACAGAAGAAGUAAAUAGGUCAAACGUAAAAAUUAUUAGUUAGAUUCCUGUAAGCGAUUUUUGAGUUGUAAUUUCCUACUUUUAGUUAAGAUUUAUAAUAAUUACUUGUUCUAAGUAAUUAAUUAAAUAGUAUUAUGCAAUAUGAUUUUACUCCAAAGUUGAUUAAAAACAAUAUUUAUCGAUGUGAAGACAACGCUCACAAACAUGUUAAGCAAAGUAAUUAAUCUAACCUUUUGUUUCUUUAGAUUCAUAUCCUUAAUCAAGGUUAAAUCUUAGCAUCUGACCACAUAAACAAGAAUUGGUUGUCAUUCAAUAACAUGAAGAUGUGAUUUUAUUAUAAUGGAACUAUGGUAAAAUAGAAGUGCAGUGACCGAUAGUGAUAGAGUUUCUCAUCAUGACACGUACACGCACGAUCUUAUGAUAAUUUGUUACUUGUAAACUCCUAAAUUAUCUUGUAGCAACUAAAGAUUCAAUUUUUCAAGAUAGAACAGUCAGAAUGAGUCAAAUUUAUCUCUUAGAAACAUGGUGAAUACUUGUCAAGGUUCUUAAAUAUAUAGCUGUAAAACAGAUCUUGUCAUCAUAUAUAUACUAUCUGAGACAUCGUGUUUGACAUUAUGUUCUGUGUUAGAUCCAUAUAUUUGCCAUUUUUUCAAAGUUACUUGCUAGAUGGUCAGAGUUUGCUGUUUCUAUCGCUAUGCUUACCCCAUUGCUCACAGCACCCUUGGUUAAAUGGAUAAUUAUAGCUCACCCCAAUAUACGCCAAAUUGAAGCUUCACUUCUGUCACUAUAUGUUUAUGUAAUUGGCAAAAACUUUUUGUUCACAAAUAAUAUUUAGCCAUAUAUGUACGUGAAGUCAGGGAAGGAGGGAUCGAUUUAAUUCUUUUGCAAAAAUCAAACUUUUGUCCACUACAAUUUGGAUGGGGGCUUCAUUAUUCAAACCAAAUUAAAGAAAAGAAUAUUCAAUUUCCAACAAAUUUAAUGUACAAUUUCAAAUUCAUACAAGAUGGCUACUCAGACCAUAUUUUCAUGGAGAGCUAGAUCCACCUCUUUACACAUUGAUCUUCACCAAACAAUAUUACAAUUCAACAAAUAAAAAGAAGAAGAUUAAAGAGUGAGAAAAAAACAUUUUCCAAAUUGCUAAUUAGAGUUUUAAGUAAUAAUCAUAUUCCUCCUCACAUUUUGCUAAUUUUUUUUCAACGAGAAGGAUUACCAUAAUUAUAAGCAGGCCUAUUUGAAACUUGACCAGUAUAAGAAUAGAAGUUAGAUUCAAAUCCAUUACUAGGUCUAGUAGAUGAUCCAAAGGCGACUUUGUUGACACUGCGGGAAUGUGUUAACUCCCGUGUCGAUCGUUGGUCCAAAAACUCGAAUGUUGGUGGCUGGUAAUCUGAUCGUGUUCGUCGGUGCGACGACUCAUCGUUGGCAGUGAUCAGUAGAUGGUAGCUCCUGCUUGAACCUACGGAUUGGCUUCUAUAGCUGUGGCGUGGCUUUUGCUUCUUCAUUGCAUGGAAAAGAUAAGGAAUUAAACCCUCCAUAUUAUCCUAACUUUUAUUCUUCUUUGUGUUAUAAGAGAAAAUGAAAAGCAUAUACACAAAAGUCAUAACAAAAUGUGGUUUUAUAAUAAGAUUUUGGAAGUGGGUUGGAGGAUAAUAAUGAGUUAAUGUGAGCAUAUUUUGUGAAGGAAAUAUCUGUGUAAUGUGGUUUUGGUUGGGGGUGUUUUUGAGAAAGUCCAUAUUGUAUAAAGCCAAUUGGAUACUGUGCGGUGUCAACUAUGGAGGGCGCCUAUCAAUUCAACGCAAAGACCAAGUAAUGAACAACCAACUAUUCUCUCACGAUCAAAAACAGAUAAACAUAACCAAAAUUAGAAUUUUGUUUUCAAAGAUAGUAUAUCGUUAAAAAAGGAAGAAGUUUUCAUAGUAUAGUCGUCGAUCAAGACACUCACAGAACACUACGAAAAUAAAGCAAUAACCGAUAAGAAUGAACAACAAUCAAACUCACAAAUAAACUACAUGAAUUUCUAGAAGACAAGUCUCAGUCCACUUAGAACCACAUAUAUAAAACUUUCACCCAAUAUCAAACUAAUCACCUGAGCAGACACUAAACCAGAGGUAAGGUAGAAAAAUUGUAAGCAAUGACAUCUUUUAAUUUAAUCAUUACGGAACAACUUUAACAAAAUUCAUCGAUGUUUCCUGAGAAUUGUUCGUAGCAAUCUAUUUAAAUUUUUUUGAGUGGACUUGGACUAUCGAUGCUUUUUUAUUUUAAAAAAUGAUUGUAUAUAUCUUUUGAUUAUAUGUUGUUUUCUUCAAAAUUUCAAUUAUUCUAUUAUGGUAAAUUACCGAAUCCCAAAAGCUUAAACUAUUAAUCUGGUAAACUUUUAAGGAGGAAAGCCUUUCUUAUUGACUAUAUAUUUUUUAAUUCAAUAAACGUGAUUGUUCUCCAGUAAUAUCUAGAAUGAUUUUGAGCAUUAUUUUGGAAUCUGCUAGGCAGAAGAAAAUGGAAAUAUGGAAGAGGCAAAAAGAUGAUUUUCCACUCAACCUUAAUUAAUUACUUUUCAUAUGUUGCAGAAGCAUUAGGAUCUUAUUGAAUUGACUAUAUAAUAAUGUCGUUCUCACCAAUUUACUGUUGUUUAUCUUCAUGUAAUCUCUCUUGUUGAUUGUAAUCUUUUCCCUAAUCUAAUAACCCUCAUCAAAGGGUGUGGUUAGGUUGUUACAAUCUUCUAGUUUUUUACCUUAUUGUUUCUUCUUGCCUUGUAUAAUGGUGAGUGAGCUAGGUUUGUAUUCAAGUGUGAGAAACCCUUCAACUCCAGAGCUUCAAAACCUUAUUUUGGUAUCAGAGAGACCAUGGAAAACAUCUCAAACAUAACAAAAAUCACCGAUAUUCAAUAAAACCUCCUUCCACUCUAAAGACUAAAAAGACUCGAGCAAAACCCUCACCACAAGCACCAUCGUUUGUUAAUCUGCUCAAUCAAGUGCCCACACAACGAUGCUCCCCACUGGAACCAACCUCCUGUUAUGACACUGUAAUCCCGACAUUAAAAGCUACAAACUAGAAGGACACCUAGUCUUGAAAAAUUCCGCUCCUCAAAUGUAUGUUGAGUAACUAACCUUCUCAAAUAUCUCCACAAUGAUAUGAUAUUGUUCAUAAUAUAUCUUCGUAGCUUUUGUUUUCGGUACCAUCCCAAAACGAGACAUCGAUUUGGAAUUUUGGUCAUAAAGGACAUAGGCAAAUGAGUGUACUAUGUACCUCUAUUUUGGAAAGGAUUGUCAAUUAAUUUAUUUUGAACCGACUCAAUAAUCUAUGAGCUUAAUUAUCAAAAUUGUGAAAGUUUAGCAUCGAUUUACAAAAUUAAAUUUCAAAACCAUAAAAGUUUAUAUGUAUAAUCCAAAUUAGUCAAGCAAUAAUAAUCUAAACAAUUAAUAUUUUAAAAUUUGAAGAAAAAUGUAGAUUUCAAAACUUAAAUAUUUUUUAUAACUUUGACUCAAAAGUUGUUUUUUUUUGCAAAAAAAGUUAUCAAAAUUCAAAUCCCUAAUAAUAAAUUAAUUCCCUCUCGUAUGAGCAAAAAAAUGGCGUGUAGAUGAAGUAGAAUAAAAACAAUAUGGCCGCCAUUGACAACAACCUUUAGUUAACAUUAUCUUCUCACAUGGAAGACAUUGGGAAAAUUCUACCAUAUUUCAUGUAUGAACAAACCUUUGUAAUAAUAAACUAAACAAAAAAGGAUAUGGAUCAAUAUAUAUUGAUUAAUUGUCUUGUUCUUUUCAGCUAUAAAUACAAGGCAUGUGAAAGCCAAUGAAAACCAUAUACUAGAAAGAGAGAUCAGAUUCACAUAUGGAGAUGAAAAACAAGGUUGCUUUGGUGGCCAUGGUGGUUGUGAUGGUGGUUAUGACUCGAUCAGCCACUGUCACCGCUGCCAUGGAUGAGGGGAUUGAACUCCCAACCAACGGUGAAGCAAGUUAUUAUGAUACGCCACCGCCUCCUCGUGUUUGUCCUAUUAUGAUAUUACCAUGCAAAACUGAUUCUGAGUGUUCUCCAUGCUAUUGUAACAAUGGCUCCUGCAUUUGACAAACAAAAUGAGAAGGGAAAAAGAACCAGAAGAAUGAAGUUUGUAAUUUGUAUUGAUGUUUCAUUUGUGUUUUUUCUUUUUUCUUCUUUUUUCUCUAUGUUUAAUGCAGAAUAAACCUUGCUUCUUUUUGCCCUUCAGCUUGUUGAAGUGCAAAAUAAUAUCGAUAUCCAUUACUUUCAUGUUAGUGUUGAUUAUUAUUAGUUUUUUAUACAGUUUCGUGUCAAUAAACUACUAAAGAUUAUAUUCAUGUUUAAGAUGAGGUGCACAAACAUCAAUAAAAAUAACUUUGUUAACACAAAAAUAUGCAAGUUCUAUCAAAAUAUUGAGAAAUAAUGAACUUUUCGGUAUGAACGUCAGGAAAAAUUUUGGUUGACGUUCAUUAGUCUGUCAAGAACAAAAGUUUAUAUUUUGGCCAUCAAUGAAUAAUCCCAAAAGGACACUAAGCAAUAUUGUUUUGGGUUCAUUCCUUUUCUUCUUCUUCCUCAAGCCCUUACCCUGAUGGUCUCCCGUCAAGCAGCUGUCGUGUGAAGCCCUCAUCAAGCCGCCAUCGUGAAGAAGCUACGCUCAUUACCAUCGUAAACCCCAAAUCCUCUUGGAGUUUGGUAUUAACUUGAUUGUGCUUAAAAUCGAUUGGAACUUAUACAUAGUUUUAGAAAUAUAAUAUAUAUAGAUUCAAAACUUGGGGUUUCAUAUAUUUUAUCUAAAAAUACUAUUUUGAACGUUUAAUUAUAUUACUAACAAACUAGAACUACUACUGAUAAAUUUGUGGAUAUACGAGUAGGUAUCAGUUAAAAUCAAAUGAUUAUACACACACAUAUAUAUGUCUACAUCAUGCAUAAUUAAUAUAUAUAAGCCAACAAACUUGGUAUGUAUUCAAUAUAGUCAAUAUUGGUUAGUGUUCAAGACCUUCUAAAAAAUUGAGUACUUACCAAAACAAUUAUACUUGAUGACAUAGGUUAUAGUAAAUUAAAAUUGUGUCAAUACUUUAACACCAACACUACCAAUACCAAGUUAGUUAACUCAAUCUGCUAACUUUAAUUCCAAGUUCUAAAUCAUCCCUGUUUUAAGAUGAACACUCAUGUCAAAUAUUUCACAUCUCUUACAUCAUGCAAAAAUAAAAUUAUCAAAUUUUCUUUUAAAAAUAUAUAGUUUGUGUCAUGAAGAGAUAAGAAGCAUUUGAGCUAGAAUAAUGCACCAUACCUAAUCAUUGUGCCCUCUUUUAGAAUACUACUAUUUUAAAAGAGUUAUAUUAUAAAUGACAUAUAUGUGUAUGGGUCGAACUCAUGGAGCAAGUUAGUUUCUCGACUAAAUCGAAGUAACCGAAGGGUGGAGUUUCGAAGUUGUUUUCAGUUGCAACAUUUCAAGACAUAAGAAAUGAGAACAGUUAUCAAACAAGUCUAUUUCUUAAAAAUUGAGAAACAAAAACAAAAAACAAGAAAUAAAAUUGUUAUCAAAAGAAUCGAAGUGUUCAUCGCCGAAAUUUUAUGUAAUUCAGAAUUAAGUAGACUAACACAUCAUUAGCAUUUUAAGAUUUUUAGAAAAAGCUAAGACUUACAAUCUUUUGAAUACCAAAUUGAGAAAAAAUCAUAACAUUAAAUAUACAUAUAUAAAAUGAUAAAUUUUACAAAAUAUUUACACUAUAUAACAAAAUUUUAUAUUGUAUCCAAAAUUUUAGAAUUAGAAAGAAAAAUAGUAAAUGUGGAAUAAAUGAUGUGGGUAUUAAAUUAAACACAUAAAAUUUAAAUGAAAGGUCAAGAUCAGGACACCACUAGAGACUUUUUUUUUUUUCUUGAUGCUUAAAGUAUGAAAAUGGAUAAAGUUUUGAUUGGCACAAAGUUUCAUUGAUUGACUGCUACAUUCCCCUAUAAAUACAAAGGCUUACAAGGAAAGCCUAGCACAAAAACCAUAAGAAUUAUUUGGGUUUAUAUCAAGAAGAGGAUAAUGGAGAUGAAGAACAAGGCUGCUUUGGUGGCUAUGGUGGUUUUCAUGGUGGUUAUGGCUCAAUCUGUCACCACGAUCACCGCCGAUGAGACGAUUGAGCUCUCAGGUGGAGAAAACACAGCAAGAGUGUGUCCUGCUACGCUUUUGCCUUGCGAAACAGACUCUGAGUGCUCUCCAUGCAUUUGUAAUGUUAAAUCUGGCGCCUGCGUUUGAAACAAAUUAAAAACAAGAUCAUCAAGAACAAUUAUUGUACCCAUUAUCAAUAUCUACAUAUGGUCUUUCUUUCCCUUUUAAAUCAGGAAUAAAAACUUACCUUUCAGAACAAUCUUUGGCCAUGUCUUAUGUUGUGACUAUUAUAUAUUGAUGUGUGCUAAAUCAAUUAUAUGUUGUUGAUUCCAUUAUAUAUUUCCGUUCAUCGUCUGAUCUCUCUCUCUCUCUCUCGUUUAGUUAAUGAAAAAUGCCACUAAAGAAUAGAAAGACAACGUUGGUAAAGCUCCGUCGGUGAAAAUCACUUCACUCUUUUCUUUCUCCUCCUUCAACACUUUCCAUUAUUGUUAUUUUCUUUCUGCUCCCUCAACACUAUUUCAUAAGCAGAAUGAACCAACAUAUAUUUAUUCUUUUCAAUUGAAUGAUACACAUCAACACAUUAUUAUUUUAUAUACCAUAUGAUAACAAUAAUAGAAUGCAUGUGGUAAUGAUCAGUGUUAAAAUGAAGUAAAACUAUCAACAGAAAAAUAUAUCCAUAGCAUAGUACUAAAUUUUCAUGGACAUGUAGAAAUUUCUAUAUCAAUAUAUCCAUUUUUUUCAUGGGUUCAACGUUUAUAUUUUAUCAUGUAAAAAAAUCCACAAAAUACAAAAAAAAAUAAGGUGUCAAAUAUCAUUAAUAUAAAUCUCAUACAAAAGCAUGUCAACUUAUUUCAUGUUUUUCAAUAUAUAGCAAAAUGAAUUAAAAAAGUUAUAAAUAUAACCAAAUUCUUGUAAUCUAUGGAUAUCUUAAAUAACAAAUUUUCUAUUUGAAUUGAAGUAAUUUAUCUCAGAAGUAUGGGUUGAAAUCAAAAUUUUAUCUAUAUUUUUAUCAAAUUUUUUGUAGAACCAAUAUUUCAGUAUCAACAUUUUAAACUGUGAUGAACAGUCAAUAUUGGUUGGUAGACAAUUUCAAUACUUUUGAAUUACCAACCACUACCAAACAUUAUUGACUUUAGGGUCUUAAUUUAUGAUCCCUUUCUUCAACUAUUCAUCUUUAUCAAAUUAAAAUUAAGCUUAUUAAUAUACAUGACUAAUCAAUUAUAGACAAAGGUGGAAUUUUGAUAAAUUCCAUGCAUAUCAAUUAUCAAAAUAAACUUGGUCUCUCUACAAAAAUAUAAUGCAAUUUUUUUUCUUUUAAAGAAUAGACAUUUAAAAAGGAAAAAAAAAAAAAAAAAACUACCUUCUCAUUUUAGACAUUUUCUACAAUUUAUCAAAAUUGACUUAGGGAGAGAGAUCCAAUAAAAUUCAUAACCAUCAUAACACCCUUCCUUUUUUUCCUGUCCUAAUGAAGAACUUUGGACAAAUGUUUAAAUUAUUUUUUCAUUUACUUGUUUAAGGACAUAAAAGAGUUUAAGUCAUUUUUGUUCUUUUAAAAAUCACUCUGAAUUAGAUGUUUAAAUAAUUAAAAGUUUCAUGUAUGACAGAGACUUUGGAUAGAAAGCUUCUCUAGUUUUCCUGUCAUUCUUAUUCACUUCUCUCUUUUCUUCUCUUUUAAGAAAAGAAACUUAAGUAUCAAACACAACAUGUUUGAUCUUAAAACUUAAGUAUCAACAUGUUUGAUUCAAUUACGGUGAUAUAUCUCUCUAACAUUACAAUGAAUGACAAACUCCGAUUCUGUAUCUCAAUAUGUCAAAUCAAAACAUUUCGACCGAAGUGCUUCCUCGACAGAUUCACAUGAACCAAUAUUCUUUAACAUCAAACAAGAGAGCUCAGUUAUUUGGUCAUCGAGGAACGCAUAUGUUUGCUCAUCGAUGAGCGCCAAGGCACUCUAUCGUAGCGAAGCACAAUGCUGUGACAAUGGGUUGUGUUCAAACUUAGCACGAAAAUUAAAAUGUCCAGUAGAUUCUUAAACUUUCUACUUACAUCACUUCCCUGUUCUCCUUACCCAAAUAUGGCUCAACUGUUGCCAAAAGAAGGGGUUUUCAACUUUUUAUUACAUAAAUUAACCGUAGACUAUAUAACAAAAAAUGGGGGCAAACAAAAGAUUAAUGUUCUUUUAUUAUUAUUUAUUUAAACCCAAACAUUAGAAUACAAAUUUCAGCAGCUUAAAUCAAUAAUCUAAAUAGGAACCAUUGAAGAGCAACAGCCCUAGCUUGUAUUACAAAUUCCAUACAUUAGCAGUUGUUAAACUGGAACAACAGGCCUAGCUGCUUCAAGUGCUUUCUUAAUUCUCUCCACAGCAGCUUGCAAUACACUGAGGGAUUCAGCGUAUGAAAUCCGAAUGCAAGUAUCGUCACCAAAUGCAUCCCCUGGAACCAAAGCAACCUGAAAAUUCGAACAACCGUAUCGAUUGCACCUCUUAGGAUGAUAAUAAACUAAGAAAGGCUUUAAAUUUUAGAACAAUGAGAAAAAUCCAUUAGUGAGAAAAUAUGAUGUUUUGCUUCUUGAUGAACCUCUACCUGGCCUUUCUCAAGAAGAUAUCUGCAAAGUGACUCUGAAUUGUUGAUUACACCAAAUCCUUCAACUUCAGCUCCGUAGUAAGAGCUGAAAUCAAGGAAGAGGUAGAAAGCUCCCUACAACAAGUUACAAAAUCUUCAGAUAUUACACUGACAUCAAAAUUAUGAAAGAUAAGGAUGGGUUGGCAAAGAACACGCAAAAGGUUGUAGUUGGGACCUGAGGUUCUGAAAUCUUGACACCUGCGAGUUCGCCAAAGCUUUUUACCAAAUAAUCACGACGUUCUCGGAAGGCUUUCACCAUCGUGGCAACUGCUUCCCCACCAGCAUAGCCCAUUCCUAGAGCUGCAACAGCUGCUUUUUGGGAUAUGCUACUUGCUCCUGAAGUGGACUAUCAUAACAAAUAUACAGAGUAAGUUGGUGAUGGGAAAACAUGCUCUGACAAUUAACAAUUUGAAAACUUAAUCCAAGAAUUUGAUCCAUCUCAGGUUGCAGCAUAUUUUUUAGAAAGAGAAACUAUUGCAUAAAUAAAAAAGAUAUCCCUACGAGAUGCGGGACACAUAUUGACUUUUGUGCAUUGGGAAUAAUUCCAUAUCUCAAGUUAAAGUUCCAACUUUGAAUUUCCAAUAGGUAUUCAGUCCCUUUACACUUUUGUUGCCCUGGGGCUUCAGCCAUCAUCCUUACAUCAAAUUCUCAAACACGAAACAGAAAUUCAAAGUAUCCCUAUACCUUUGUCUGGAAUUUUGAAAAUAUGCAUAACCAUAUAAAAACUUGUAUACCCUACUUCCAGAGAUGGAGAUCCAAGAUAGUUCCAAAAGUCAUUCUACAUUACCAAGUCAACUGUGGUUUCAAAACAACCUUCCUGGAUUUCCUUUUUUUCUACCUUUACUUUCUACUAAGUACACAAUAAUAGGAUAGAUGCUCAAAAUGGAUGAAGACAUUCUCUAAAGAAAAAUAUUUUCACCAUUGUCACUAGAAAAGAAAGUAAGACAAAAUGAGUCAACACAAUGCAAAGACGAGUUCAAAACGAUUGAACAUUGCAUAACUAAGCUCAAACUGCUAAGAGAGAUGAGAAAUACUAAAGUUUAAACAUACCUGACUCUGAAUUUUUCCACAAGCAGAAACAAAGUGUUUGGGACCAGCAAUAUAUCCAAGUCGCCAACCAGUCAUUGCAAAGGCCUAAAACAUUACACUUUCAAAUGUAAAGGAAUUGUAUUGCUAAACAUACCACAUACGAACUUUCACAUGGUUGGUAGUAGUAAAGAUCCAAACUUUUCAUUACCUUAGAGAACCCAUUAACAGUUAGAGUUCUUUCCCACAUGCCUGGCAAAGAUGCAAAGCUGGUGUGAGUUGCUGGAGCGUAAAUUAUGUGUUCAUAUAUUUCAUCAGACAGCACCUGCAAACAAUAGAUAAUUUAAGAUCAAACAGUUCAAUACAGUACUUUCAUCACAGUUAAAGAAACCUCACCAGAAGUCUAGGAUGUUUUGCAACAAUUUCAGCAAUCUUUUCAAGUAGUUCCUUUGGAUAAACAGAUCCUGUAGGGUUGGAUGGAGAGCAAAGAAUCAACAGUCUCGAUUUCUCUGUGAUCUUUGAUUCAAGAAGCUUUGGAUCCAAAAGAAAGUUAUUGUCUAUAUGUGUUGGAAGAAUCACAGGAGUUGCAUCAGCCAGCCUUGCCAUUUCCGGAUAGCUUACCCAAAAAGGAGCCGGAAUUAUAACCUACAGGGGAAAAUAGGCAAUCAUGAACUGUUUUAUAAAUGGAUGAAGUUCCUUUAAAAUAAUAUUGGUACUACAUGGCUAAUUGUCUUAAUAUCUCCCCAAGAAUAAGCUACUCGGAUCAAGAUUCAACUAUUGUACCUCCUAGUCAUAUCUCUUUGCAACUGACUGUCAGAGUAGUAUAAAUCUAUUACAUUCAUCGAAAGACCAAGAAAACCCUUACCUCAUCCCCUGGAGAACAAACAGCAACAACUGCCUGAAGAAUACUCUGUUUGGCUCCAUUGCUGACCAAUAUUUGAUCUGGUGUAUAUGAAAGCCCAUUCUCAUCUGGAGACAAAGAGAGAAAAACUCAACCACAUUUCUAAACACUCAAUGGAGCUAGUAUACAACUCAACCAUAUUUCCAAAACUCCAUCCCCUAAACACAACUAACCUUUCAGCUUAUGACAAAUUGCUUGGCGGAGUUCCAAUGUUCCUGCAUUGGCCGUGUAGCGAGUGUAGCCAUCCCGAAUUGCAUUAAUGCCAGCCUAACAUUCAUUUAGGAGUAAAAAGGAUCGACUAACACACGUUGAAAGAUGAAAAUAUACAUAUACUAGCAUCAAAAGAAAACUUGGACAUUGAACACUAAAAAUUUUAGCAUAAGAUAAUACCUCAGUAAUUGGGGCAGGUGUAUCAAAAUCAGGUUCACCAGCAGCCAACCGGAUCACAGGCACACCGGCUUGCACAAGAGCCGUAGCCUGAUCACUUAUGGCAACUGUCUUGGAAGGUUUUACAGAGUUCACUCUUGGGCUCAAAGAAAUGUCGACACUCACAUGGUCGGGAAUAUUUCCAGCCAUUACUGGCUUCACUUUCUUAGUCAACUGUACAGACCUAUCAUAAAAUGGAAAGUUUAAGGGACAGAGAAAAAAAAAGGUAUAAUAACACGUUCCCAGCAAUUAUAGUCAAAGAUAAAAACGACCCAUCAACAAGGAACAUAGAAAUUCCACAUAAAAACCAUAAAUUCACUCAAAGAGCAUAAAAAUGGUCCGCAAAAGAGAAAUCAUCGCCCGAAGCUAAAACCCAGAAAGAAUAAAAGUAAAAGAAAGCAGAGCAUACUUGAGGGAGGGAGCAAGACGUUGAGAAGGGAAAGAUAGGGAUCCAAAAGCAGAAUCCAAGGUAGAAUCAGCUCCAGAAAAUUGGUGUCUGAAUCCAAGACGAGAAGCAUCAGGUAAAAUGUGCAAGGAACUUGCCAUGGCAAAGUGGAAGGUAUCCGGAUUCAGCAGGGACAGCAAUAGAACAGGAGUAAUUGAGAGAAAAAGUGGAAGAAGAGAGAGUUAAGUAGGCAGAAGGCAGCAAUAAGAAAUGAAGAAGAGAAGGAUGGGUUGGUAGAGAAAGGGAAGGAAAGAGUGGGGAGUUGGUGGAGAUGACGAAUGUCGGAAAUUUCGAUCAAGAGGCGGAGUUAGGUAAGGUUGAGCAGUUGCCGUAGUUGACCUGAGCCGUCGGAUCCAACCUCUUGCGUCCAUGGUGGGUAGGUUUAUUCCAUUAUAAAACCUAUAAACUAUAACACAUUUUUCCCUUUUUAACAUCUUCUAUAAACGUCUUUCAUUUUUCUACUCUAUAAUAUGUUUCAUUUACGAAAAUGUAAAUCUUUAAACUAAAAUUGUCACUCAAUACAAUUUUCCUUCUCUCUGUUCACAAAGCUAUGGAUGUUUGUAUAAUUUUAUUUGAAGAUUGGAGAUGGAUACUUGUAUCUUUGAAGUAGAAGAUGGUGCAAUUGGUACACACUUCAUGUGAAACCAUCUCUUUUUCACAACAAACUCAUUAGUUUCCUUUCCUAUCAAAACCUUAAAAUCUCUCUCUCUCUCUCUCACCAACACAUACUUAGGAAACGUUUUUCUCGUGGUGACAAGUGGCCUUCUUUACUCUUCUGAUCUUGAUGUUAAUCACUUCUUCUUUUGGUCAUUCUUAAACUAAUUAUCAUCAUUGUUAGUUUUAAUUGAAUAUAUGUUUUUGAUUGUUUAUUUAAAAAAUGACCAAAAGUAUGCAAACUUCCCUUGUCCACUGCCACCAAUUGAUACUAAGUUAGAGUUGUUGUUGCUGCUAAGAAACAAAGAUUGAUGAUUGUCUCUUCCUUCUGCUCAUGCUCUCUGUUUAACCAUUUUGGCUAGCUAACAUUUUUUUAACUUUUUUACUACACAUACGAGUGUGUUUUGUUUGGAAAAUUGCUAUUCAUUUCUCGGUUGUACGUGGGAGGGUCACUCACACACACAAUGAGAGAUAGAGAUAAUGAGUUUGUUAGAAAAGUGAUUGGUUUUGUAAAAUAAAAUAUGUUUUGUGUUUAGGGAUAACAUUUUUUUUUUUGUUUAAAUGGAAUCGCAUUUAUGAAAUAUUGACUUUUCUUGGGUACGUAGUCUGUAGUCUGAGCCAACUUUAAUGUAUUCACAUCUAAAUAGUUAAUGGUUGAAUUACAAAUUUAGUCUCUAAACUUUUACGUUUGUAUCAGUUUUUAAUUUACUAUUUAAUCCAUUUUUUUCUCGUUUUUUAAUUUUAUACUUAUGAGUUUCGUUAAUUUUAAUAUUUCUAUUUAAAAAAUAUAGUUUGUAUUUCAAGUUAUAAAUUUGAUACAAUUACAAAUUUUCAUUUAUUCUUUUACUUUGUAACUAUAUAAACUAACACGAUUUGGUAAAUUAAAUAUGCGAUAUUUUUGAACUCUUGAUAUAUUUAUUAGAAUAAGAAAUUUUGUUUUUUCACAUAAAUAAUUUUUUUUUCUCUUUUAGAAAAACUACAAAGUUAAAUAUAACCAAAUUAUUUUUUCUUUUCAAAAGAACUACUUCAUAAAUUAAACUUAAAAGAUUGAUUCUACAUUCCUAUAAAAGAAAGAAAAAGAUUAGUUGGAAAGUUAGUCAAUAAUCUUUGAGCUUAAAAUAAUUGUUGUUUUUCUUAAACAAAAAAAAGUUUCACAUUUUACAAUCUUUAUCUUUUCAUUUAAAAGAAAUAAUCAACAAUUUAAAUUCAAAGGAAAAAAACAAAAUAAAGAAAAGACAAAAAGGGCAUAAAUUAUUCAACCACGUUUCCUUUCAUCUAAAAAUAAUAUGUAGAAGUGUCAAAAAAGAAAAUCCAGUUUUCUUUAAAUAAAUAUUUCUUUCUAUAACUUUACAAAACUAUUUCUUACUUUUUAUGUUGAAAAAAAAAAAAAAAAAAAAAAAAAAACUUUGGAUUCAAAGUUAUUAAUAUUUUUUCAAUAAAAGAUUAUGAUUAAUAAUUUAAUAUAAUUUAAUUUCCCUAUAAUAAUAAUUGAAAUAAAUAAAUGCUCAAACUUCAUCUCUUGCUUCAUUCAAGAGCUCUUUCAGCAGAAACACACUGAAGCAUAUCCUUUUUCCUUUUUCCAUAAACGCCAAACCCAACACAACCAUGGAAUUUUUUUAACAUGGACUGUGUUUCUUUGGCAUAAUAAAAGCUUUAGAUGAACUGAAAUUGAAGAAACUCGGAGGUUUUCAGGUGGUGUGUUUCUCUGUUUUGUGUUAGAUUUAGAACUAAAUCUAGAAAUUUAGCAAAAUUACUUGUAUUUUUUUUUUCCUCAAUGGGUUAUCGGAAUUUGGGUUUCUUUCCAUUUCCAUGGCUUCUGUGGCUAUCUCUGGUUCCCCUUUGUAUGGGGAGGUUUGUAGUGGAGAAAAACAGCUUGAGGGUGACUUCUCCUGAGAAAAUCAGGGGGACUUAUGAUUCUGCCAUUGGAAAUUUUGGGAUUCCUCAGUAUGGAGGUAGCUUGGCAGGUGUGGUGGUUUAUCCAAAGGAGAAUCAGAAAGGUUGUAAAGACUUCGGUGAUUUUCAUAUCUCGUUCCAGUCGAAGCCAGGGUCUCUCCCUAUAUUUGUCAUGGUCGAUCGUGGAGGUAACUUUUGUUUUGGGGUUCUUUUGAUUGUUGUUACUUUGUGUGUUUUAAGGUAAAGUUGAUUUGUUGUUGGUGAUUUUGAGUUACCAUUUUCUUGAUCUAAGAAGCCAUUUGUGAAUGGGUUUGAUUUAGCUUAUGAAUUGAUAUUCCUACUUCCUGGGUUUGAGGUCUUUCUGGUAUGUUAGUUUUUUUUUUUUUUUUUUUUUUUAUACUUCUGUUGAAAUUGAACUGGGUUUUUAGCUCGGUUAUAUUCUGGCGGCUUCUCAUGGCUUAUUGAUGAGAUGGUGUUCAAAUUACCAUUUUUCUCUCUCUCUCUCAUAGAAACCUGGGCUAUAGUUUUGCUUUCAUUGGUCUUGCACAUUGGGUUUUGUAGAGCAUAUACUCAAGGCUUUUAGACUUUUAUUUGAACUGAAGUUGCAAGUUCUUAGUUUGUAACUUGUCUCUUUCUUCGAUCAAAAUUUCUGUGGAUCUUUUUGAGUUAAAAAAAUAAUUCUUGCGCAUACCAUCGUCAGUUCAAAACCUCAUAUAUGUAUAUUAUGUAGGUUUUGAUGUACUUUUGCUCAACUUUUUGUUCUUUUCUUUUAUCUUUUGAACUUGCAGAUUUUCUUGUGAAUUCUGUGACAGCUCCUUUGAAUAUCUUAGCAACUUGUCUGAUAGCUUGUCAUGUUGUUUUUUUCCAGAUUGUUUAUUUGCCCUUAAGGUUUGGAAUGCUCAAAAGGUAGGUGCUUCUGCAGUUCUUGUUGCAGACCACCUUGACGAGCCAUUAAUCACUAUGGACUCACCAGAGGAGGAUGGUUCAACUGCAACAUACGUAGAAAAUAUAACAAUACCAUCUGCACUUAUAAGAAAGGGUUUCAGUGAACAAUUAAAGAAAGAAAUCAAUGCUGGGGAAAUGGUCAGCCUGAGUCUUGAUUGGAGAGAAGCUGUUCCACAUCCUGAUGAUCGUGUGGAAUAUGAGCUCUGGACUAAUAGUAAUGAUGAAUGUGGGUUUAAAUGUGAUAUGUUGAUGGAGUUUUUGAAAGAUUUCAAGGGUGCUGCUCAGAUACUUGAGAGGCGUCGGUAUACUCAGUUUACACCACAUUAUAUAACUUGGUUCUGUCCCCAGGCGUUCACCUUAAGCAGACAAUGCAAAUCACAGUGCAUCAAUCAUGGAAGAUACUGUGCUCCUGACCCAGAGCAGGAUUUUAAUUCAGGAUAUGAUGGAAAAGAUGUAGUUAUUGAAAACCUGAGACAGCUAUGUGUUUUCAGAGCUGCAAAUAAUACUGGAAAGCCCUGGAUUUGGUGGGACUAUGUAACUGAUUUUCAAAUUCGAUGCCCCAUGAAGGAGAAAAAGUACAACAAGGAAUGUGCUCAUUCUGUAAUCAAAUCACUUGGUUGGUGAUUUCUGCUGUGUAUUUUUCAUGUUGUGAAAGAUGGUGGUCGACCAUUUAUUAUGGUGUAUGGUACCUUAAUAUUUGUCUGACAUUUUGCACAGGGCUUGAUAUGGACUCGAUAGAAAAGUGUAUGGGAGACCCAGAUGCUGAUUCUGAAAAUCCUGUCCUCAAAGAAGAGCAACAAGCUCAGGUAUAUAUUCCUUCAGAAUGGAAGCAUAGUACUUUUAAAACUAAUGUUUGAAGUUCAUUGUUGGCAACUAUUAAUUUAAUACUAACAGCAAUAUCAUGCUUGAAACUAUAUUGAAUUUAGAUUGGGAAGGGAUCAAGGGGUGAUGUAACCAUAUUGCCAACUCUUGUGGUCAAUAAUCGACAGUAUCGAGGUUUGUUUUUUUGCUUAUCACCCUUGGAUAAGAUUUCGGCUGUUUCCUAAACUUAGUUUUGUUCAUGCAGGAAAGCUGGCAAAGGGUGCCGUUCUUAAGGCCAUAUGUGCAGGUUUUGAGGAAGCCACUGAACCAUCUAUUUGUUUGAGUAGUGGUAAGUUAACUUUUCUCUUCACAUGCAUAAGUUGAAUUUAUUAUUAUGUUUGUAUAGGCAAAAGUAAACUCUCAAGCGGGCUAAAAUUCAUUGCAGAUAUUGAGACAAAUGAAUGCUUGGAGAAUAAUGGUGGUUGUUGGCAGGAUAGAGCGGCCAAUCUCACAGCUUGCAAGGUAGGAAGAAAAUUAUUCAUCCACAUAUCCAGUUACUUUAUAGGUAUUUGAUAGUUUUUGUUGUCAAUGAUUAUUUUGAGUGUUCAUUCAGGAUACAUACCGUGGGAGGGUUUGCGAGUGCCCCCUGGUAGAUGGGGUGCAGCUUAAAGGAGAUGGUUACACCAUCUGUGAAGGUAAGAACGAUCUGCUUUGUCAUUUUCUUUUUCUGUAAGAAAGGUGAUAGAAAAUUAUGCCACAGUGUGGUCUCUGUUUAGUGUUUACCAUCUGUCCCAAAUUACAAGUAGCCAUUACUUUAUAAACCUACAACAUUUGCAGAGACCACUGCUUAAACCACUUGCAAGAAAAUGUCCUUUUGUGCUCCAGUCUAUUUUCACUCUGUUGGCUAUGGACUUUAUGCUGUUAAGUUUGUCACGACAUAAUAAAAGAUAUGAUUGUUAAUGUUCCUUGUAGAGAAGAUUUUUCUCAUGCGUGCAAUUAAAAUUUUCAUCCUUAACACAAGCUUAGAUUUUUCAACAAAUAUGUUUUAGUCAUGGACUUCAAGUUCUAUUUAAUCUUGUUUCUAAAUUUUAAAUGUGUACAACCUAAUAGAUCCUAAUAGAUCUUCUCUCUCUCUCUUUUGGCCUAGUAGCUAGAGGGCCUGGAAGGUGCAACGUAAAUAAUGGUGGCUGUUGGCAAGAAAGUCGUAAUGGACUUUCAAUGUCUGCUUGUGUGGUUAGUUAUCUAAACAUUUUUCUGUUGUUUUUUCCUCAUUAGGCUUGUUGGUUAUAAAUUUUCUUACUGUUGUAACAGGAUAAUGGGGAGGUUAAAUGUAAAUGUCCUCCAGGAUUUAAAGGUGAUGGUGUCAAAACAUGUGAAGGUAAACAAACUUUGAUUAUGCCAUGUUCAUGGUUUGCUAAAUUUUGGUUGUUUUUCCAAGCUUGGAGAAAGUUUGUUCUUUUUAAUGAAAUAAACAUUUCUACUCCAUGUGCUUAGGUGGUUAUCACUUAUAGCCUUGAGGGGUCUUUUACAUUUCUGUUGAUAAUAAACGGUGAUUGUGACUAGUGCAUGUUUAUAUAGUCCUAAUAUGUUGGAUACAAAAAGCCUAUUAUCCAUUUGUAUAAGGCCCCAACAAAUGAUAAUCAAUAUUAAUUCAGGAUUAAAUGACAUUACAUUGAUUUGAGCACAGGACCUCCGGCUCCAAUAACUAUGUUAAACCCCUGAUUAACCUUAAAGCUAAAUUUGAUUGGUUAUGGUAAAUUUAAUUAUGUUAACAAUUUAACAACAAAGCUGAAGAGACCUCACAACUUUACAAGAUAUGUAGGUUACUCCUAGCAAUUAGUUUUGAUUGGGAUUUUACUUCCUCUUUAUAAUUGAAGGAAAAGAAUACCAAUCCAAUAUCAAUUGAGGAAAAUUGAUACACAUGUGGUAUAAAAUCAUCAUGACAGCAUAUGUUUAUAUAUCUUCCAUUUGCAAGAAAGUGAUCCUUCGAACUAGUCCACCCCAGUGCUCUCAGUCAGAUGUUGAUAGUAACCCUUUUAAAGGAAAAGUUAAAUGUGUUGUGGUUCAACCCAUCAUUGUGCUAGGAUACUUCCUAACAAGAAUCAAGAUCUCAAUAUAUUGAUUAUAUCUAUGAAGAAAUACAAGAUAAUCCAAGUAUAAAGGAACUUGGAACCUCCCUUUGCUCUCACUCAAACCCUAGAUUAACCUAACCCUCACUCACUCAUCUUACUAUUUAUACAACAUCCCCCUUAACACUAACAUGCUAAUAUUCUUUUCUAGGUACCUAACACAUUGCUAACUAACUUUCAAGGGUAAAGAGUGAGUGACCAAUACCCUGGUUAUUAAAGAAGAAACAGAUCUAGCCGGUUAGACUUUUAGUUGACCCAAUUAGCUCAUGUUAUCAAAACUAAAUGACGAUUCUUGAUAUGAUAAUUGUUGCUAUGCAGGAAGGUUUUUUUUUUUUUUUUUUUAGUAUUGAUUUAGUGAUAAUUUUGGGAUAUUUAUCAGAUUCAUUUUCUUUUUCAUCCUUAAUACCAAAUGAGAUACUGAGCUUGACAGUAUGAAUUGAAAAGGUGAUUGCGUUUGGAAAGAAUUUACUUCCUUAAACUUCAAUGGAUCGUAUUUGCUGUUAAUAACUUCUAAACUUUUUUCAAGACUGCUUCCUGAUACCGCUUGUACUUUGUCCUUUUUCACUAAACAGAUAUUAAUGAAUGCAAGGAGAAGAAGGCUUGUCAAUGUUCUGAAUGUAGCUGCACGAAUACAUGGGGAAGCUAUGACUGUAGUUGUAGUGGUGAUCUUUUAUAUAUGAGGGACCAUGAUACCUGCAUAAGUGAGUACAUUUUGACAUGAUUCAAUUACAAGUGAUCAUAACACAUGGUUCAUUUGAAUGCAAUAAGUUCUCAAAGUUAGCAUAUUUGAGUAAUAAAUGAGAAAUAUAGCCAACACUGGACAGAUGUAAACAUUUUUUUUUUUUUGUCUUGCCAUCAUCUUGUGUAGGUAAGAAUGCUAGCGCAGCAAAAUCAUCUUGGAGUUUCUUUUGGGUUAUUUUGAUUGGCCUGGCUAUCGCUGCUGGUGGAGCAUAUAUGGUAUACAAAUACAGAUUAAGGGUAAGCUAUUUUCGACUUGGCAGCUGUUUGUAUUAUUCAUGUUCUGAAUAUAAUCGACUCUUAUACAAGGACAAGUAUUUCCUUUUUUUAUAUUAGUGACACAUUCUCUAUCAUGAUGUGAUAUUAUCUACUAUGGACCUAAAUCCUCAUGUUUUUCUUUUGGUUUUACCCAAAAGACUACGACAAAUAUUUCUUUUUCGAGUUCUCAUUUGAUUGGAUAUCCCUAUUAUAUUACUUCCAACCUUCUUUUCCACCGUUUUACUCUUCAUGAGCUCAUUCCAAGAUUGGUUAACAUUUCAUCGUAAUCUAACUCCCAAUAAUUCUAUUAUAUUCUAGCCUCCCAAACUGGCCCCUAGCUCAAUUCUUGCGUUCAUUUUCGUUUAAUAUUCCUUACCUGCAUUAAUCAUUGAUAUGAAAACGAAAAAAACCAGAACAAUCGAACAGAGCACUUCAAUGCUACUUUUACUAAAAUAGAGAGGACAGGGGAUGCUAUUUUUCAACACAACCCGUCUUGACUGCCUUCAAUUUAUUUUGUUUGUGCAGGCAUAUAUGGAUUCAGAGAUCAGAGCUAUUAUGGCACAGUAUAUGCCCCUGGACAGCCAAGGAGAAGUGCCAAAUCAUGUCCACGGGGACCGCUUGGACCGCCUGUGAAAGCACCUUACAUCCUUUCAUUUCAAGGAUUGUAGAUUCCUUUACAAAUGAAAUGGUUCGUUGUGCUCUUUAAGCCACUCGUUGAAUUUUUGAACACGGAUCUCUUGUCAGGUUUAUGUACAUUAUUAGAUAAUAAAGUAGUGCAAAUUUGAAAUCCCUCAUUGACUUGAGGUUGUAAGCUUUGUUAGCAGGUAAAGAUAGUAAUUAGGCUUUAGGUAUAUGUAUGGUUAGGGAUUUAGUUUGAAGCAUUUGAUAAAUCUGCCAACAACUUAACCUACUUCUUUUCAUGAAUACAUUUGGCUUCAUGUUGCUAUUUGUUCAUGUGAGAAGUAACAAGCUUUUACCUCAUCUUUGUAUCAAUAGAGAGGAUCAUGCUAAUCGUAGAAUAACUUCACUCGAAGCAAGACGAUAAUAAAGCUGAUGUCAAGAUCAUAGAAAAUUAGUAUUGUACGACGAAAAUAACAAAGACAGAUCAAUUUUGAUAAUAUAGUUUGAGAAGUAAAUACUGUCAAUGAUGUGCAUAAUUUCUGCUUUUCAUUUCAAAAUACAAAAGGAAAUAAAGUCUUUAAAUAGUACAAAGACACAUCAAUGUUAUAUUUUUUUCAUCAUUAGAAGUAGUAUGUAUUAACUUGACGAGAUUAAACACAUAUACUAAAACAAAACAGAGAAGUCAAAGGAAAUUAAAAGUUGUGAAUAUCCAUAUGCUGAUGUGAAGAAUGUGGUUGAAUCCUCUUUUUUUAAGCUUAUUUGUCUUUCUUUCUAUUCUAAGGAAGAUUUAAUUAUCUAAAAGAUCAAUUUUAAAUAUUUAAAAUAACAAAUGACUUAAAAAAAAUUAAAAUGUCAAAUGUUCUUUUGAUGAUGUUAUCAUCGCGUGAAAUUACACCAUUAUCUUCCUUUAUUGAUUUAGAGCGUUCUUUUUCCUUCUACUCGUCUUCUCAUCUCCUCCACGCUGUUUCUUUUUCUUCUCCGAUACCUUCUCAUUCUAAAUUGUCAUAUGCACUAUGUAGAGUUUUGGUUUAAAUUAUGCGAGAUUAUCUUGGAACUUCCUUUUUGUUUUGUAGGUGCAACCAUAUCAAUUGGGGAGUCAAAGAUGCUUGAGCCAAAAACUAAUAUCAUUUAUCCACUAAUCUCUCUAGAUUUUUAUUAAUACUAUAUCAUCUCAACCAAUAAGACAUACCAAGUAGGAACAUACUUUAAAGUUUAGUAAGAUUAUUGAUAUAAGUUUUUGGUAUCAUUCCCAAAAGCCCUUGCAAAACACUACUUAUACUACUAGAUAGCACAAGUGGCAAGUCUUGGGUCGAACCACGUGGAGUCUAAGAUAGAGUUCAUCAAAAUCAACGUUUGGGCCUUUAGCUCUGAAACAUCGUGACACUUUUUUCAAUUCUUCAAUCAUUUUCUAAUUCCAACUCAAAUUGACUCAUUUUAGUGUCGAUAUGUUCCAAAUGCUUCAUUCUACCCGUAAAAUAACCAACUAAAAGAACAUUAAACUAAGGGAAAAUAUUGAAUUAUAAGAAGGAUACAACAGAUUUGAAGUGCACUCAAUUAUUGGUUUCAUUUUGAUUUAUUUUAGAGACUAAAUAGAUGUCCCACUCUAACCCCCAAAUAACUAAUUAAAUUUAUGAUGAAACCCACAAUUCUUAACAUCUUUGUGUUACAUUAUAUAAUCAUAUAACAUGAUAAACAAUAUUAUUAUAAAUGUAGAUUGAGAGAGGAAGGUUGGAAAGUAUCAUUCACAUGCUGACUUUAUAUGGUUUGACAUAAGUUUCCUGUCAACUGAUACUAUAAAUAUGUUAUUGAAGAUUGGCAUUUAAGUAUUAUUUGACAAUUGCUUCUGAAGUACUUAUGUGAUAAGAAAAAAUACAAAUAAAAAAACUCAAAGUCAAAUAUAAACAUAAAAUAUCAAAUCAGGACUCUCUUUCUCCCCUUUUUUAAUUCAUUCUCAGAGUCCAACUAGUCGACAUAUAUACCAAAAUAAUUGAUAUUUAAUGUUGCAAUUUAUUAUAGUUCUAAUUUUCAAUAGAAGAAUGCGAAUUAUUAUUCAUUUGGUAUUUGAUAUUAUUUAGAAUGGAAAUUAAACCAUUAUGAACUUAAUUAAAUGCACUAUUUUAAAAAGAAAAAUCUAAUACAAAAUGAAGAUUAAGUUAUUAAUUAUGAUAUAUUAUUAUGGCAAUAACUGACUUUAAAAUAAGAGAGGUUUUGACUUAUAUGUAGUAGAUAUAUCUCAAUUUUGUAUUGGUUGAUAGUUGACAGUUCCAACUUUGUUUAUUGGUUUGUAUUAUCUUUGACAUUCUCAUUUGAUGUGAUAAUUAAUGAACUCCAAAGUCAAUUUUUGAGUAUAAAAACGAAAUUGAUUAUAAUCAAUGUGACAAGAACUACUUAGUUGAUCCUCUAAUUAAUGUGUGGUUAAUUAGUAUAGAAUUUGACUGAUAUUCGAAAACAAUUUCUUUGGAGUUUUGUCAUUAUUAUUGUUUUAAUUGAAAUGAAUAGGAAGUGAUUAUUUGGAUCUCAAAGCUGUUUCAUGUCGAAUUAACCCAUCAAACUAUAUAUUAGGUUGAGUUUAUGGAAUGUCACUAGAGAAAGAAAAAAAAAACUAUCAUAGGAAGAGUAAUUGCUCAAAUUAAUUAAAGAUUAGAAAAUGUUGCAUUAUAAUUCCUACUGCCAUAGUACUCUUCAUUAUUUUGCUUUAUCGAAGUAAUACAUGAUUGCGAUUACAUAUCCAACGAUAAUCUUUUUGGGAGCUUUUCUCUUCAAGAAGAGCAUAAGAUUGUUAAAUCUACUCUUUUGAGUAAUCUUGAUGGUGUCAAUAACGUGCAGGAUUUAGCUAUACAAAUAUAUAUAUAAAAAAUAUUGAAUAAUGAAUGAAAAGCAGUAAACUCCAUCUCAUAGUAUGUUAUUCAUGUAGUUAAGUUUUAUAAAUCAAAGUAAUAUAUGUUCAAAAGAUGUUAAUUCAAGCAUAGUUUAGUGAAUAGAGGACCGAUCAUGACUAUUCUAAAAUAUAUUGAUUUUGAAUUAUUAAAACAUAUAUUUUGAAGUUAUGUGUGUGUGUGUGGAACUUCAUGCAUAUAGUGUUAUGAAGUAUAACUGACAAAGAGCCGAGUUGAAGCCUUGAUAGUAUUUAACAUUAUUUAACAAGGAAAGAUGAGGUACGAUAUAGUAAGGGUAAUUGUAAUUGAUAACAAUUUGAGGAAUAACAAUUAUAGAUAUAACAAUAUUUAAAAGAAAUUGUAAAUAUAGCAAAACUAUCAGUGAUAGACUUGUAUUGUUGAUAUACUCGUACGAUCUAUCGGUGAUAGACCAAUAUUUACAACAUGGGUUAGAAGUGAUAAACUUCUAUUAUUGAUAAAAUUUGACAAAUUUUGUUAUAUUUGCACAUUUUUUAAAAUAUUGCUAUAUACUUAAUAAUUUUGAAUCUAAUUGCUAAAUAUACAACUAUCCCACGGUAGUAAUCGUAUAGAGCCUAUUGGUUCGAACCCCAAGAGACAUGUCACAUUUAAAAUAGAGUCUUUGUCGACCAAAAGGGACUAAGAAGACGGACUUCAACGACUUUUCAAAAAGUGUGCUACUUUCAAAGGGUGAAAACUAAAAAUCGGCCUUAAGUUUUUUUUUUCUUUCCCUUUUUUCCUUUUUUACUUCCUAUGUUUGGUUUUCAACUUUUAAAAAAGAGAUAGUUGCAAAUUUAGCAAUUAAAAAAUUUACAAAUAUAGCAAAAUCUGUUAAAUUCUAUCAAUGAUAAAAAACUAUAUUGUAAAUAUUGAUCUAUCACUGAUAUACCAUAUAAGUCUAUAGCGAUAGUUUUGCUAUAUUUACAAUUUUUAAAAAUAUUGUUAUAUCUUUAAUUAUUAUUUCUAAAAUGGUUAUCAAUUACACUUACCCUUUAAAAAAAACAACGGUCAUACAUGUUUGAUUAUUAUUUUUCACUUUAUUUAUAUAUAUAUAUAUAUAUCUAAAUUUAUAUUUUGGAAGCAUUUGGUGUUUGAAUAUUAAUCCAUAAACACCAAUUUGUCUCUAAAUUGCUACCUUUAUUAUUUACUUCCUACGAAUGUUUUAAAAAACCAAUCUGACUUGUUUUUGGGAAUUUGGGUUGAUGUUACCUUUUUAGUGUAUGAUAGAUGAAAAUUAUGAAAAUAAGUUAGGACGAUUAUAGAUUUAAUUUUCAACUAAAAACCAAAUUGUUAUUGAACAUGAAACUUUCUGAAUUUGGAUAAUUAGCAUUAGGAAGUCACAUUAAUCAGCAAAUGUAAGGCAUAAUCUUACAGCAUAUUUAGCACAGAAGAAGGAACAACAAUUACACAUAUUCCUUCAUAUAUGAUUAAACCUUCCUUUUGAGGCCAAAAUGAAUGAUCGAAGUCUUCAACUUUUCAUUACCAUCUUAAUUUCUUUUUCUUUCACAAGAAAAGAAAAUAAAAAGGUUAAAUUUUGAAAAGCUUAUAAAAUGGUAUCUCUAAAAUUUAUGAUUCUACAACAAAGAAAUUAUAACAGUAUAAACUAUUAUCUAUUGUGAUGCAUUGUCUUGCUUCAUCAACUUCAAGUUAAGUCCAAUGUCCAUUCCAUUGUAAGCAAUUGGUGCAUACAUCCAUAAAUCAUCCGAGCUCAACAACUGCAUGUUUCAUUCAACACAAAAGAAUAAGAACUUCAUUCAGAAAAAAGAAUUAUGAAAAUCCUUCUCUUGAAUAAUGAUUCAUUAUUCAACAAUUUACCUUGAUUUGAAGCUGCAAAAACUUCACGUAUUGAACAGCUUCUUCAAGCAUUGUACUGAUGUCAACCUGUCAGGUUUAAGAUAUAGAUACAAUAUGAGACUUUCAAACACCGAGAUGGUUCGAUAUAUGUAUGAUAUCGUACAGAAUCAACCUUACCUUUGUACCAUUUGGGACGAGGCUUUGUAAGAUUCUCAACCUUUCAUUGAUUCUUUCUCUUCUUUUCUGAAAGGAAAAUUCAAAAGAUUUACAAUCAGAUUCAAAAUUAUUAGUAAAUAUAGCACAAUGUAUGAGAAUUUGCAGAUAUAUUCAAUUUUCGAGUAUACUAGUGUGUUAGGAAAUGGAGGAAACAGGGGAGUGGUUUAGAGUUUAGAGGAUUACCCUUGCAUAGAGGCUUUGAGGGUCUGUGGCUGAGCCUCUACUGGCUCUUGGCUUUCCAUUUGAGGUUGAGCUAGAAGUGAUUCCACCAUUGUUUUCUUGAGCCUCAUUACAAUCAUCUUCAGAGCUGAAACUGCUUGUGCAUUGCCCAUUUGGACUAACAAUUUGAUCCUCUUCAUUGCAGCUACCUGAAGCAAUCUUCGAUGUCUUCCGUGCCCUCCCGCUCCUUUUUGUCUUUUCAACCUUCAUUACCACAAUGUUGUUAGAAUCAAAAAAGAAAAAGAGAAGAAACAAGCAGCCUUUAGUGCAAAUGAAAGCUUAGAAUAUAAAUCCUCACAUCAAGCAAACUUUGAGGUCUCUUCCUCGAGAAAUUCUCAACUGAAACCGGUCCAACUUUAUCAUCCCUCAUAGCUUCUUCCACCAUCACAUCAUUGGCUCUUCGUUUCGGUUGUGAGCUCUUCCCAUUGACAACAGAGUCAGCAGGGGAUUGUUGCAGCCUGCUGCAUUGCCUUGUUUUACGAAUAUUCGAACCGUUAUCGUCCAAGCAAUCGGCAUUCCGGACAUCCUCGAUGGAAAAAUCCAAGGACAAGGAAGCACCAUUAUUAGGCAACCAAAGAGUGGGGUUAGAGUCAUUGAAAGUGUAAGGAAGAUUGUUAUUGGGUUGUGAAAGGGCAUAGAUAUUGGAAGAAUCAGAAGCAUCUGAAGAAUAAUAAGAAGGUUCAUUAGAAGAAGCCCAAUAAGAAGAUGGAAUUUCCAAGCUUAAAUCUGAAUUUAACUCAUUAGGAAUACAAUAAUUGCUGAGUAAAUUAGCCAUAAAAUCAGAUUCUUCAGCAGUAUAAGCUCCACUAAGAGAUAUCCAUUCUCUUUCUGAAAUGGCACCUUCCAUAACUUGAAGAAAAGAAAAAAGGGAAUGUUUUUUUUUUUUUUUGAAUUUCUGUUUGGUACUUUGGUGUUUGAGAAAGAUGGGAUUACAAAUUUGUAAAGCUAAUUUAUAAUAAUGGUACAACAAAAAUUAAGUUGACUUCAUUUUAUUAAAAAAAUGAAUCAUCCCUCAGUUUAAUCACAUUAUGUUCUUAGUUUAAACAGAACAACCAAUGGGGAAAAACUCUAAAAAUGGGCCCAAAGACAACUCAAAAAUAAUGCUUAACCAACUGUAAUGGAUGGAAUUAAAAAAUUGAAGCUUUUUCAGUUUUCUCUAAACUAUAUAGUUAAAUUUAAUUAAUUCUUUUUCUUUUUCUGUUUUUUUAGUUCAAGAGCUAUCAGGGGAGGCUAAAAAUUAUAAACAACUUGGUUGGUGAAACUUGGUCUUAUUAGGGAGAAUUUUUUUAAAUGUUACAAAUAGUUUAUAUAGUAUAAGCUUUUCAUGAUAGAAUGAAGGAUGUUUGUUGACAAAAUGACAUCUGAUAUCUAAGAGUCAUAGAUUCCAAAAACAACUAUCUUAUACUGCCACACAUAAUAUCUCUCUUCUUUCUGAUCCCUUCUUGCAAUCCGAGUUCUUGGCUCGAAACGGGUCGAGUUAUUUCCGAGACUGAGAAAAUUUGAAGUUUAUGAGUUGGUGAUAGAUGUUGAGGAUUUUUUUGCUCCAUGAGAAGGAAAGGAAGGUGACAGUUUAAUUUCGAUUAGGUUCAUGUAGUCAUAGACUUUGUGAAGACUAAAAAACUACAAUAAUUUUGUGGGCUCUUUUGUGAUAAUGACAGAGACAUUUAUAUAUGCAUAUAUAUUGUGAAGAGUGGAAAAAGAAGAUGCCCUUUGGGAGUGUUGUUUGGCCUCAUUCUUAAGAGAGUCUUCUUUCCCAUUUGUUGAAAAAACUUGUAACUUAGUAAACUAAAAAGGUCACAAUUAAGGUAUAAUUCAUCCAUAGUUAAAUCAAAUAUAUUAUAAUUAGAAUCAAUCAAUUUUCUGUUUGUUUUAUUAGAAAAACUCUCUAAAAUUGAUACGUAUUCUUUUUCUUACAAUGGAAGGUGUAUCUAUAGACAUACAUAUAUAAACUAGAUUUUAAACAAAAACAUUAGCAGAAUAUGUUAUACACUGGAUUUUGAAUCUAACUUUGGUUAAUUUAAUUUAUCUUGUAUUGUAUAUUUUUAAUAUAAAUAUUGUGACAACUAUGUUGGCAUGCAUUAUUGGUCUGACCCUAUGAUAUAAAAUUUCAAAGUCUUGGCCUUAAUUGUGUUAAGCAAAAGAAUUAGAAAGACAAGGAAGAUUCAUCAAGUAAUUGAAUAUUAAACAAACUGAGAUUUGCUUGUUUGGAAUAUAUGCUGCUUUUGAAGAUCUCUUCAUUCUUUAGAAACAAAAAGAAAAAAGAAAGAAAAAGAAAGCCAAAGCAGCUGGAAUGAGGUGACAAAAUAUCAAUACUUUUCACUUUUGUUUCAUGAGUGGCCCCAUGCAUUUUGGACAGGAAAAUAAUUUUAAUGGAAAGAGUACAUAACAGUUACACAUAUAUAUAUAUAUCAUUGAGAUGAACUUAUAUCCACGUUAAAGAAAUUAAUGGUUAAUUGAAGCAUAUAGUUCAGUAGAUGUAUAUAAUAGCAGUUAAUACCUAAAGAUCCAUGGUUUGAUACUUUGCCUCUAUAAUUAUUUUUGAACUAUAUGUUUUGGUGUGGAAAUCACAUGUGUUCGUUGUUGUUGCAGCCUUCCACUUGGUUACUAUUUGAUCCCAUUUUGUGAGCUAAAUUGAGUGAGAGUUUAUCUCACAUCACUAAGGUUAGCAACUCUGAUGCAUAUGUUAGCAAAGUAUAGUUCAAGUAAACACACAAAAUUAAGGUCACCAUUGUUUUUAAAAGGUUUACUUACUCUUUCCCAUUUUGAGAUUGUAGAAUGGAAAAUUUUAAACUGGUUUUCCUUUGACACUAGUUUGUGGUGAUGUGUAACUAUGUCAAGAUAAUUUACAGUCUCUAGGUGUUAGAUAUAUCGAGCAUGACUUGGUUAUUAUUUUAUUAGUACAUAUCAUUGGGCUCGAGGUCGACUUGAGAUCUAAGACUUUUACGUUUUCUUUUGACAUACGUGUUUUCUCGUGUUUGUUUUUUUAUUUUUCCUUAAACUUUGGUUUGCCUUGAAAUAACCCUUGACUAGUUAAGGGAUCAAAUCUCAAAACUUCACGCUUUUAGAAUAAUUAAAAAUGUAUGGAAACAACGAGUUCUUUUUUUUUAAAAAAAGGAAAAAGAUAACUGAAUCAAGAGCUAGCAUUUGAUUAAUAAGUUGAAUAUAGCUAAAAAAACUUAGAAUCGUUAUAAAUGAUCGUUUUCCAAUUCUUAAAAACGGUUGUGAAAAUAUAUAUAUACAAAUCAAAUAUAUUUUGUAUAUGUUGUCAUCCAAUCAAAAUGGAUAUUGAAAAAUGGGUGAAUACUAUGAACACGCAUAAUGUUACGCCUACACUAUAUUGGAAAGCACAAAAAGUAACAACAUAAAGAAACACUAACACACAAAGUUGUUAACUUAGUUCAAUGCAACAAUACCUACGUCUAGGAGGUUGUACCCCUAGAUAAAAGAUGAUCACUAAUAGGAAAAUAGUUGUAUAUGUACGUAAUAAAACCAGUCAGAGAUAUAAUGUUUAAGAAGUACAUAACUUUUCACACGAAAACAAGUUUAGGCUUCCUCUAACUCUAACAUUCGUAUAGUGAGUCGAAUGAUCAAUAAUCCCCUUCAAACAAAUGCAGGUUGCAACCUGACUCACCUUCACCCUCUAAACCAAGUUCUCAACCUUGACAAAAACUUCGAUCCACGAAAAAAAACUAGUUAUUACACAUAUGUGGCCCAACCCUAACACCACCUCGUUCAAACACAUAAAUACCGAAACCAAGGCAAGGAAGGCAACUCACGGAAGAAAAUUAAAAAGCCAAGCAAUGAAUAAACCAAAUAAGGCAAGAAAUCCACAUGCAUGGCACAAAAACGAUUAAAAAGUAGAAGACAUCAUAGUCAUCAAAGAGGCUAAAAGAAAAUAUACCCGCUAACACACCACAAUAUAUACAAAAAUCUAGCCGUGUUUUGAAAGUGAGUUUGAAAUGGUUAAAUCACGCUUGUUAGAUUCAAAAUCACUCCUAAGAUAUUUUUAAUGGUUCAAAAGUGAAAAAUUAAACCUUAAAUUGGUUUUUGAAUGAUUAAAAGUAUACCACACGUCUUUAAAAAAAUGUUUCCUUUUUAGAAGUACAAGAGAAGAGUAGAGAAAAGGUUUAUGAUAGAUCUCAAGGUCUCCCACCAAACACCAUUGAUAUCUAUUCUCUUUUCAAAAACCUAUAUUUCCUAACAUAUUGAACACAAAUUCCUUUUCUUUGAUAUCUAUAUGUUUAUUGAAUAUAUAUAAGGCCGGCCGCUUGUAUAUAUAUAUAUAUAUAUAUAUAUAAACUUUGUAAAUUUGCACUUGCAUUUGUUUUUCUUUAAAAGAAAGUUGUGUAUUCUCAUGUUAUUUAAACCCAAUAAAUCAUGUUAUUUAAACCCAAUAAAUCAAAUGUAACGUAACCCUAAGCGUCUAAAAUUUAUAUAAACUUUGAUUGUUUCGAACUAAAAAAUUCAAAUGACCUAGAGAAUAAUGGAUGAUGAUAACACGAUAUCAAGACUUUGAUAUAGCUCAAACUUAAAAAUUAAAGGAUUUUUAAUUUUACUCCAAUAAUUUAUAGCUAGUGUAAUAUAGGUUGAAUGUGUGAUAGAUAUAAAUUAGUUAUAUAUAUAAAAUUCAUCUUUAAGUGAAAAUCAAAUAUCUAUCAUGCCUCAAACAAGGCCAAAAGUCUAUUAAAGAGUUAUCCAGAGCAUCACAAAAGAGAAAGAUCAAAGCGUUGGGUCAAUCGUUAUAGGUUGAUCAACUGUGAGUAAAUGAAUAUACCAAUAAAAAAUAAUUAAGCUACACUCAAUUUGAUAUCGUAUACCCUAAAACAACAAUAUCUACUUUGAAAUCGUGAAAGUUACAUGUAACCACAUAUGAGAGCAUCAUAAAUAGCUUCAUUUGAUAAGUCAGAAGAAAAAAGAAAGAGGUUAGGUUAGAGAUUAGAGUAUGGUAAGAGAGGUUGGAAGCAAGAUGAUAGGAGGAGAGUGGGGUAGGGAGCAUAAGCCCGAGGGCGAGAAUGAAGUGAGGGUGAGAUUUGUGGAGUAACUAAUGAGUAUGAAACCAAUUACUUGGGGGGGGAUAGAUUAGGUCAAAUAGAUAUUAAAAAUGUAAUAUUAAUUUAGAAAUUGAAACAGUUUGAAAUGAAUUUGGUUGAAUAGGGUUAUGUGAAAUGGGAAUUGAAUUUUUGAAAAAAGAAUAAGAAUUAGAAAUGUGCAUGCCAUCACGAUUGUUGUAGAGAUAAAAUUCAACUUGCCUUAUUGUUAAUAGCUGGCAGUUGGCACCUUCUAUUCUCUCAAUAUAUCCCCCCGACAAUCGUGUAUGAAAACGCGUUCAUUCUUCUUUUCUCUUCUCUAUAUUAUUUCUAUUUACUUCCUUUUUUCUUUUCCUUCCCCAUACUAAAUUAUUAUUCUAUUAUACACUUCUUUUUUUUAAAUAAAACUCUUACAAUAUAUUUUGGUUACAAUUCCAUUUUACAUUUUCUUCUUUCAACUAAUUUAAGUCUUAAUACUUAAGGAAAUCCAUCAAAUAAUAACAAUAAUUUUCAUUUUCAUUUUUUUUAAUUUUUAAUUUUUAAUUUUUUAUAUAUGUAUGUAAAAAAAAAAAUGCUAAUAAAACUGAUUAAUUUUAAAAUUUAUUCAUGUAAAUAAAAUUAGACCUCUAAAAUAUAAAAAAAUAAAAUGGAAUAAGAUCUAAAGUUAGGGAUAUUCUAACUUUAAAAUGUGUAUAUAUAUUUUUUAAAUAAUCGUGACAAUAUAAAGAUUAUUAUUUUUUUUCGUGUGUGUGUGUUAAAGAAAUAAUUUUGUACAUUAUUUUAUUUCAGCAAAUUAUAUGCAUGUUGUUUAUAUUUUAAUUGAUAAAUUAUGAACUCACAAAACUGUGGGGAGAAAAUCUUAUUGGAUAAUUGGAUUAUAAAACUCUUCAACUAUGGGAUUAUUAGUGGAAUUAUAUAUAUGUAAUGUUUGUGAAUGGCCAAUUAAAACAUAUAUAGUUUAUUGAAAUAAUAAAACAAUUUCAAAAUUAUUAUUUAAUAUUUUUCUCUAUUAUUGAACUAAAAAAAUCCAUCAACUCUUUCCAUUUUCUUCGUCACAUCCAUUAUAAUUAUGUUCUUUUAGUACAAAUGAAGGCGAAAGAUUUUGAACCAUAGACCUCUUCGUUCUUUUGUUAUUGAUAUCAUUUGAGUUCAACAAAAUAAGAGUUAAAAGCACAAGACUUAACGUAAUUAUCCACAAUAAAAUAAUUAUUAUAAGAGUAUAGAGUUUCUUUUAGAUUACGUGUUUAAAUUAUUUUUUAAACCUUAAAUUUUGUGUUGGAUGAUGUUUUCUUACGUUCUUGACAAAUAGUAAAAAUCUAUCGUUUCGUUACACAUAAAGUUGUAUAGUGUUUCAAAUAGGUCUCGAAUUUUGUGUAACAUAGGUCUAUAUGAAUUUUAAUAUAUAUAUAUAUAUAUCAAAUACUCGAAACAUUUUUAAGAAAGUUGGGACCAACUAACACACAAACGUAAAAGGUGUACAAUUUCUUGUUCUAAAUUCGUAAUUUGACUUAAUUGAUUAGUAGACAUUAACGUAAAAGAUGGAAAGUGAAAAUUUAGUAAAAAAUCAAAUUUAAUGUGUAAAUUUUAAAAUUAUAGGGGUCAAUUUUUUAAAAAAUAAAACUAAAAUCUAACAUAUAAAAUUGUUACAUUUUGGAACGUUGUAAGAAUAUUAAAUUUAAACUAAACUCAAAACAUAAAGGUCAAAAUGUCGCACCCCACUCUAGCAUUCUCUAUGGCUUGAGGUAGAGGUAGAGGUGUGAAGCUAGCACAUGUCGACUCUCUCACAACAUUUACUGAUCUCCUAGGCUUGACUAACUUGCUCAGCAAAACACUCUAAAAAGUUUAAUAAAUACUCAAACUUAAAAUAGUGGAAGACUUUCAAGUGAUUUGAAAAUAAACAAAACUAUAGAAGAUGUUUUUAAGAAUUGAUAUAACACAACUUGACUCAACUGGACAACUAAAAACAUUAUACAAGCCCCCAUAGAUAAAGACAAACUACAUCUUACUAAAUAAACUGGCUAACUAGCAAUAGUAUAGGUUCAGUUUUGAGAUCUCGAUCACUACUGGAAAAGGAAAACAUUUUGAAAAAAAUGAGUUGAAAGUUAACUUUAUUUUUCAGUUUUCCAAAACGAGCUUGCAUUUAUAAUAUGAAUAAAUUAUUUAUAACAAUCUUUCUUAAUACUCUAAUACUCAGUUUAGUUACCAACUCCCACUUACUAAGAACAGUAAUACUCUAAUUGAUACCGAUAACGAUAAACUAUAUGAAACUAAACACAUCGUAGUAGAAUUUAAUCAAUAUUAUCAAUUGUAUUCAUAAACUCGAAAUUUGUGUACGUGCCCAUUGUAAAUCUCAUGUGGCUGACAACUAAAUCCCUUUAGAAAUCAGGUUUUGCUUGAUUUAUGGUAAAUCUUAGAAAUAACUUGCUUAAUAUUUCAUGCUUGAUAACGAAACUUGCUCUUCUUCAACACUUUGCCAAACCUCAUUCUUUGUAAGAUACUUUUGUUUAAAUGUUUGCUUAUUUUAUCUAACUCUCAUGCUUUCUUUCAAAUUGUUUCUUAAACAUGCUUUUUUAUAUGCUUUUCAACUCAAUGUAAAACAAAAGAAUCACUCUCGAUAGUAAAACAUGUUUAAUAAUUUGAUAGAUUGUUUUCAAUACUUCACUAAAUCUGGUAUUGAAGUGUUUUUGCUAAAUCUCAUGCUUAGAAACAUAGUGUAAAUAAACCAUAUUGAUAAAAAUCGAUGCUCAAUUAACUCAAAGAUUACUUUAAACACUUUUGCUAGAAAUUCAUGCUUUCAAUAAGAACUUGAAAUCAUUAUGUGAAGACUUGCUUUAUAACUCAUUGAUCGAAAAUUAGAGAAAUUAAUCCCUAAUUAAUUAUCUUGAUUUUGAAAAAUAUCAGUGUUAAUUUAAAAUUCUCAAACAUGUAAAAAAUGACACUGCGAUGUCAUUGACAGUUGACACUACCCACACUCAUAGCUUGCUAAUGGGUAUGGUCAUUGACACUCAAACUUUCUUUCACUCCAACGUCUUUGAUCGCUUCAUCUACCUCCCACCUACCAUUGCCACACUUACUUUAGCGAUCAACUCCAAACUCGAACAACCAGGUUGGAUGCAAAACUAUUUUGUUAGAGUUAUUAUUAUGUAUUACUAUUAUUGUAAUAAAAAGAAACGUCCCAUUUUGAAAUUUAAAUCUUCUGAGGCAUGGGUGAAAAUGAUAAUAAAAACCCUUUUGGGAUCAAUCCAGGCCUCUUGGCUCUCUUCCUCUCUCCCUCUUCUUUCCCACAUCACAGCUCGCUCGCUCACUCACUCACUCACUCACUCACUAACACACAAACACUUCAAAUUCAAAAAAUCAAAUUUCAAAAUAUCAAAUUUCGAAAACUUCUUCCCUCUUCCUCUCUCUCCCUCUCUUUCGCGAACCAACUAUUCACUGUAAAAACCCUAAUUCUUCAUUUCAUCUGGCACUUCCAAAUCAAUUCCCGCUAUGACCGCCGUCCCUCCUCCCGCUGCUGGCCGGGAGCUUUCAAAUCCUCCCUCCGACGGCAUUUCCAAUCUCCGCUUCUCCAAUCACAGUGAUCACUUACUUGUUUCCUCUUGGGACAAGGUAUAUAACUUACUCUUUCCUUAACUCUCUCUCUGUUUCCUCUUCUUCUUCUUCUUCUCACCUUAUCUUUACUUUUCUUCCUUCCUAGACUGUGCGCUUGUACGACGCUAGCGCCAACGUCCUCCGCGGUGAGUUCGUACACGGUGGUCCUGUUCUCGAUUGUUGUUUCCACGAUGAUUCUUCUGGAUUUAGUGUUAGUGUUGACAACACUGUCAGGAGGUGGGUGUUUCUGUAAUUUUGUUUUCUCUCUUCCCAAAUCUUGCGGAUUUUAAAAAAAAAAAAAUUUGAAACUAGCUUCGUUUUGUUUUUAUUGCUUCAGGCUUGUUUUUAACCAUAACAAGGAGGAUAUAUUAGGGAGGCAUGAUGCACCUGUGCGGUGCGUGGAGUAUUCUUACGCUGCAGGUAUAUCUUUGUUGAGGUUUUGCUUUUUAAUUGAGUGUUCUCAAUUUUUAUUUUCUGAAGGAAGAUAGGAGUUCUGUUUCAUUAAUCAUUUGGGAAGUUUAUUACAUUACAUUAGAGUUGUGUUUUUUUAUUUAGUGGGGUUCCAAAAUAGUAAGUGAGGAUCAAAUUAAAACUUGUCACGACCGAGAACAAUGUUACGUUGGAGUGGCACCAGUUGAGUUGAUGGAUCAUUUCUUAUAUGUAAGAACACAGAAGGUUUCAAAAAUUAGUCAUUUUUAAUCGUCUUCUAUGUUAUUCAAAUGGGAGUGAAGGGAAAGGUCAGCUAGUUGUAUGAAUGGAAAAUCUAGUGAUGUUUUGACUAAGUUGUUUUAAUUCACCUUAUACGGAUGAAUUUCAAGGAGGAAUCCAUAGACUCAGUGUCUUUUUAUCUUGCCUUGUGAAACAUGGUUACUUUUAAAAUAUUGUGCAUACUACCUUCUCAAUAAAUGUGUGUUCAGUUGAAAAUGAAAGUGGAAGGGAUUUGUGAUGAUCAUUUUUGUUUUUGGAUGAUAGAGUUAUGUACUCUUUAGAGUCUAGAAUUUGAAUUUAAUUGCCUGGUUCAAAAUAUGAGUUGAAUUAUUGUUUCUAUGGUUUUUUUUUCCUCUAAAAAAAGAAAUGAUGAACUAUUCUCUCACAUUCGCUGGACUAUGGUGCCAAACUUCUUUUCAAGAAAAUAUGCCCUACACUGCAUUUUAGAUAUCAGCUAUUUAUUGUUGUUAUCUUAAUGCUGGAAAUUUGACAACGUAGGUCAAUGGUUUUCCAGGGCAAUUAAUUACUGGCGGUUGGGAUAAAACACUGAAGUGUUGGGAUCCUAGAGGGGCAAGUGGGCAGGAACAUACUCUCGUUGGAACAUAUCCUCAGCCUGAACGUGUUUACUCACUCUCUCUUGUGGGUAACCGUUUAGUUGUUGCAACUGCUGGAAGGCAUGUUAAUGUAUAUGACUUGAGAAAUAUGUCUCAGCCCGAGCAAAGGAGGGAAUCCUCGUUGAAGUAUCAGACUCGAUGUGUGCGUUGUUAUCCAAAUGGAACUGGUAAUUAUCUAACCUUUGAAAUGACAUUGUUGAUUAAUGAACCAUUUUUCUUCUUGUUAAACGGCCAUGUAAUUCUCUGUGUUGUUCAUAUGUGUAGUUUUGGUUGAACCUCCUGUUACAUUCUCUGUUCCCUUACCUAAUGCUUACUGGAAAAAGUUUUCUAGUUGCAUAGUUUGAAUUUUGAGGGUAGCACCUUAAAUCUUUUUUUAAGUCUGGAGAUGUUUCAUUCAUAAGGCCUCAUUCUACUAUAAUUUCUAGUAAAUUAAAACCACACUGUACGUAAUCAAUAUCAUGGCUUUGGUGCUGCAAUAAUGUAUGAAUUUAUAAUAUCUCUUUUGUGAAUGCAGGAUAUGCUCUUAGUUCAGUUGAAGGACGAGUUGCCAUGGAAUUUUUUGAUCCCUCAGAGGCUAGUCAAGCCAAAAAGUAGGUGUUAGUUAAAUAAUAACAAGAAUAGUUUUAAAUUGUAUUUUUUAUUCUUUUAUAUUUGAUGCAUUCUCUGUAAUAUUAAAUAUUUUAAAUUUCUUACAUCUAUACGCUUGAGCAGAAUGAAUAUCCAGAGUUUGAUAUAUUAUUCUUUCCUUGUCCCAGCUCUGAUUCACUAUCAGCUAUUUUUCCUUUAUCAUUAGUCUUUGAGCUGUAAUUAUUUGUCUGUGAUUUUGUCUUUUUGUAGGUAUGCAUUCAAAUGUCACAGAAAAUCAGAGGCUGGAAGGGACAUAGUCUAUCCAGUCAAUGCCAUUGCAUUCCAUCCUAUGUGAGUUUAUGGUUUAUUUUGAGUAAUUGAUAUAGCUUGAGUGAGCAUGUAUAGGCAUUAUAUUGCGCUAAGAGUGUGCUGGUGCAGUGUAGCAGGUGUUGUGGUUUUGGUUUCCACUCCCUUGUUCAAUGAAAGCGUCUCUUAGAAAAAGGGGCAAACAAUGUCACAUUUAGUUUCUGUUGCUACAUAUUUUGACUAGGAAAUAAUUUUACUAUGUUAGUCUUGUGCUUCAAAUUAAUGGAUUGUAUGCUAAAGAAGUUUUAACACGAAGAACCUUUUACCUUGUUACCAUAUUUUGAUCAAUGAUCUGUUUGGCAUCUGUUAUUUCCAUGCUGCAGCUACGGUACUUUUGCUACUGGAGGCUGUGAUGGGUACGUAAAUGUAUGGGAUGGAAACAAUAAGAAGAGGCUUUAUCAGGCAAGAUUUUUUGACCAUGUGCUAGUACUUUUGCUUCUGUCGACAACCAGUACGUUUCUUAAAAUUCUCCUUUUAUUACUCCAUCUCAGUAUUCAAAAUAUCCAACAAGUGUUGCGGCACUGUCAUUUAGUAGAGAUGGGCGGCUGUUAGCUGUAGCCUCAAGUUACACAUUUGAAGAGGGAGAUAAACCGUAUGUUCUCUCUCUUUGACACUCCCAUACACUAAUACAUUUAACAACUUUCUCAUCACUUUUUGCAACUUUUUUUAUUUUGUAGCCAUGAGCCCGAUGCCAUAUAUGUCCGCAGUGUAAAUGAAAUAGAAGUUAAGCCAAAGCCUAAAGUAUACCCCAAUCCUCCUACAUGAUUAACAUCACAGAAACCUCCCCUGUGAUCCAUGCUUGUCGAUUUUAGCCCUCUGUUGGUUUUCAUGCUAGAGUUACUUCAUGGUGGUUUAGAGCCAAGGUCCCAGGUGACUUGCAGAUUGCGCAGUUAGCAUCAUACAAAAGAGUCCACGAGACCUGCUUCUUUAUUUUUUUAUUUUCUUUCUUUGAAAACUUCUGUUUUGUAUUCCUGGCGAGAUGAGAGAAACAUAGCCUUGAAUUUUGGGAUGUACCCAUCAGUAGUGUGCUUAAUGUGUACAGAUGCUGUGCUUCUAUAAACUUUCCUCAAUUGUUGUUAAGGAUAUGGAUAAAACACUUAUAUUUAUCACACUUUUGCCCUUCCAACAAGUUUUCUUGAUUUAGCCUAGCAUGUUUGUAAACUUCAGUUCACAGAGAACCUAAAUGAAAAACAGAUUUUCAUGGUGUGUUGAAUGAGUGGUUUGGUCAUAUUCCUUGAAAAUAAAUUAGAUAAUAUUCAGACCUUUGGUCCUUAAUCCAUCAUACUAAUCUUCUUGGUUUAAGUUCUAGUUUGGUACAUAAUUUAUUUAGUUUGAUACUAAAGUUUGUUUUAUACCAUUUAAUGUAGACCUAACUUGGCUUGUUGGAUUUUUGUGUAGACAAAUGGUUGGAAGUUUAGAGACUAUAAUUAGACAUUGCUUUUGUUAUUAGAUAAAAUAUUGUAUGCAUCGAAGUCUAAGAAAAAUUUGUUUAGUAAGUUUGAUUCUAAUUUAAAUUUCAUGAUGAAAUUUUGGAACCAAUGCUGUAACUUGCCUUGCUAUUGAUUCAAGGUUGAAAUUCCAUCCAACCACUAAAUUUAAAGAGAAUAUUACAAAGUUUAAGCUACCCAUGAAUGAUUCAGCUUUGUAGUGUUUGGUCUUGCUAUCAUUAUUUGCUUUUUUUCUCUCCUAUAGAUAGAGAGAGAAAGUGGAGGGUGUGAAUUGGGUGAAGAUUUAAGUAAGAAUGGGGCCAAGAAGCUUUUCAAGCAUGCAAAGACAUCAUACAUGGCAAUAAUUGGGCAACAUCCAAAAGGUCAGCAUAGAUUUUUUUUUUUUGCAUGGUUUCUCAUAUCUUCUCAUUUCUAUGGUUUAAGCACUCUGACACAUACAAAGUGACAUAUUUUGGUUUCCAAUUAAAUUUGCACAGACAAAAUGCUUCCCUUCCCAACCCCACCUUGUCAUUACAAAUUUCCCUUUCCCUACCUUAAAAAAGCAAACAAUCAAACAAUAUAAUCACUUUCCUUUUCUCCUUAUCUUGUCCCAAAUUUGCCGUAUCCCAGUCCCCUACAUAUUUCAAACAUCUGUUGCCAAGAAGUUCCCUCUCCUUUCCUUUGCAUCUUGUGCACUUUCACUUUCCCAGGAAACAAACAAAUUCAUGAAACAAUCUGGAUUCAAUUUCUCAAUGAUAAAAGGUUUUUCAAGUAUCACGGAAUCCUUGAAAACUCCCCCACCCACUUUUCAAGCAAAAUUGAUCACUCACGUUUGUAGUAGUGCAACUAAAAUACCCUGAGUUUAAUUCAUGGUGACCACCUAUCUAAGAUUUAAUAUCAUGCUCCAACAUGUUUAUUUGACACUCAUGUUUUUUUAGUAUCAAACAAGUUAUUCUAUAGUCGAAAUACACGUUAGUUUGGUGGGACACUCACAAAUAUAAUGCAAGUGAAUUUAUAAGUCGAUUGAUCAUAGCUAGAAAAACUAAAAAAGAAAUAAAAUGACGGGUGCUUAGAUCACCAAUUAUUUGGAAUCUCAAAAACUUGAACUUCUGAUUUAAUCCGUGAUGGGAUUUAUGAAGUGUUUAUUUUCUCCUUGUAUUGUACAAUAUAUAAUACUACUAAAAAAUGGAUUUAGAGUACAACCAUUGAUCGUAUGAUUUUAAUAAUAUUGAUUAGCUCAUGUGAUUGUUCUGGAUCAUGUAGUGAACAUACCACACACUCAAUGGCUGUCAUGAUUCAACGAAGUUGUGGGUUUCAGAACUUUGUGUUAAAUAUGUAGGCAAAUGCAUUAUUAGAAGUACACUAUAAAUGUCAAUUUUGUUGCAGCCUUAGGAAUUAGUGGCCAUGUGCUUUUUGUUAUGAAAUCGAAGUUGAGAAAAAAUAUAUAAUAUAUAUGAAAAAAUGUACUGAAUUUGAUAAAAAUUAAAGAAGAAUAUUUUGGAUUUGAAGCUCCCAAUUGAUCUGAGAUUAUUGUUAACUUGUCUCCCAUGAAUUUGCCUCAUUUUCACUGAUUUUGUAGUGCCAGACAAUGCAGGAAGUAGUAGUAGAUGUGAUUCCCCUUGAAAUAAGGGAUUGAUUAAUUUCAGCCACUAGAUGGAGUUAGAUAUCAAUUAUUAUUCAUGUAGGUACGUUGUAAAAACUGUAUCCAUAAUCUUAUUUCAUUCCUCGAUCAAACUUCAAUCGCAAACGCAGUUGGAUUGGUUUUGUUUACAUUUACUUGUGCAUUUUGCAAACAUAGAUUGUUUACUUUGCAUUGUUUGUUAUUAUUAUCUUCGAAUGUGAUAGUAAUGUAGCAGAUUCAUACUUGAAAAUUUUAAAACGUAGUUGGAUUGUGUUAGUUUGUUUCGAAUUUGACUAUAGAUCCCACAUCUCAGUACCACUAGGCAAGUAACCAUUAAUAAGCAUAUAAAAGGAAAUUCACUUAGCUUCUUAGUUAAUAAAAUAAGAGUGGUUGAAGCAAUUAGUCAUAAGGGCCAUGUUGUAGUAGCUUGGAAGGAAGUGUCCUAAAUGUCAAAGAAUAAGAAGGAAUGGUAAAUUUGUAGAUGAUGAAUCGCUGUUCUCAUCACAUGGCAUAGAUUACACAAAUCUUAUUAAUUGAAGUAAUUAAGUGGGAAAACCAAUAAUAAAAUAUUGACUCAUUGCUAACCACCAAACCAACGGUUUAGAAAAAAUAUAUAUAUUUAUAUAUACAAAAUAUUAAAAAUUCAAACUCCCUAAACAGAAUUAAAAAUAAUCCGCCUCGGGAAGAUUUGAAAAUCUUUAAACUUUUUAGUUAAAAUACAUGUUUUAUGUCCGUUGAAUUAUAUGUUUAUGUUUGACGAACUGAGUGGGUUAAGAGAUUCUCGUAUUUUUUGUUUUUUCUUUUCUAGAUGAAAUCGACAAUUUUUUCUUUAUUUAGUUGGUUGGUUCUACUAACCAUCGAUGUAACUAGUGAGUCUACAAGUUCAUCUCUUCUUCAAAAUCGACACUGACCGAUUGAUACUCACUUCAAUGUUCGUCACAAGUAGGUUAUUUGAUAGCGAGGUUAUAACAUUGAGAUAUUCUUAAAGAAUAUCCCAAAAGGUUUGAUUAAAAAAAAUAGCAUAUCCUUUUGUUUUGGUAACCCUAAUUAAGGCGUUGACUCUCUUUAGUCUCUCUCUCAAUCUCAUGAAAGAGUUUAAAGCAACAGAAGUUGAAACAAAAUCUCUCUCUUUUUGAGCUUAAAGAGAGAGAGAGAGAGUUUGAAGAGAUGAAGGAAUCUUUAGAGUUUAAUAUUUAGUUUAUAAAGAUAACAAUGUUUGUACAGUCAGCCCCAUGUGCUAAUUAACCCUUUAAAAUCUUUUGGGUUCCUCAAUGAAUUAACCUAAAUAUGUUAUGUUACUAACUCACCUCUUUCCUUUCAGUUUCCUUCUCUCUCUCUCUCUCUCUCUCUCUGUUUAUAUAUAUAUUUGAAUAAAGUACUCACUCUCUCUAUCAGAAUGAUAAACAAAUGUAAAAAGUUAUUCACAAAGAUUAUGAUGCUAUAAUUGAGACUCUUGUUUUCAGUUUUUUUAGAAGAUAUGAUUUUAAAGAAAUAGAAUCAACAAUCUCACAAGUGUAAUAGUCACUUCCAAAUCGAGUCAAACCCAGUAGCUGUCAAUAAAUAAACGUUGUUUCAUCAAAUCAACACCUACUUUAUGCACCUCAUUAAGUUGUGUGGCUAUAGUUUCUCAUGUGACAAAUCUUUCAUGUUUUUCAAUAAAUAUUUUAAUUCAUUUGGCAAGAAAAUGCAUUCAAGUAUUACUCUAUCUAUAGUUAAAUUGAAUCCUUAAUUCAAAUUAUGUAUAUUAUACUCGACCAUGAUUUUUCUUAUUCUAUUUAUUGUUUUAAGAUAGUAUAAAGAUUUGAAUUUAUCAACAAGGGAAUGAAUAUAUAUCUAUUAGAACCAAGAUGUAGUCAUGUAGAAAGAAAGAAGCAUCUACCCACUGCAAUAUUUACCCUGGUAUGUAUAUUUGUAAACAAUGUUAGAUUAAACAACUCCUUCAGCAAUGGGCAUUAGAUAAUUAAAAAUAGAAAUCUGUCAUUUGGUAUAUGUUGAUGUUGAUGUUGAAUAAGAAUUACUAUAUUUGGUUAAAUACAAGAAAGUAGUCAUUUUCUUACUUAUGUCUGCCAUGUGUUCCAAUAUUGUCAUAAUACAUAAUGGCUUCAAAUUUUCCUUUUUCUCUUCUUUUCUUGGGAAAGAUAAUAAAUAAGAACAAUUGAGAAAGUGAACAGAUCUUCACCCAAGAAAAAUCCAAAAUUUCAAUAAUUUUUCUAAACUCUUUUCAUUAUGGAGAGGUGAAAAGGAAAGAGAAAUAAGAGAGUUUUGUUGCAAAAGGACAAUGAGUUAAGCAACCCCAAGCAAAGGGGGGGGAAAAUGAAGACUGUUGAAAUGCCUCAGUAUUAGUAUUACCUCAAAAAUUGAAUAAUGUGUUACAAGUAAUAGUACUAGCAGCAACAUAUAUUUUAUUACCACAACUUUGUUAAUUUGUUUAAGCAACAUGGGUGUCCUUUCCUUUGUUCUCUAUUGGGUUCUGCCCUUCUCAACCAUUCUCUUUUCUCAAAGCUUCAACAGUUUCUUACUUCAGUGGUAAAACCCCCCCAAAAAAAUGAUCAUUUUAGGAGAGGGCUUGUUUGUUUUCUCGUUUGCUUCAAAAUUAUGUUAUAUUGUUUGCUUCUCUUGAAAGGUUUCAUCUUUUUCAAAAGGUUUUGAUUUUGUGGCUAAGAAAAAAGCACUAUUUACAUUGGCAUUUGUAAAUCGCAAAUUGCCAUUUUAGUAUCUUUGGUUUACUUUAUAUUGGGUUGUGUUGUGAUUUACACGGGGAGUUGCUUAUGGGGAGGUUGUCUUCUUGUUUCCCAUUUUGAUUAAGAACCAAUUUUUUCAUGUGGGUUUAUUGAGUUACAGACUAUUCGUAAUUAAAAAUUUGAUCUUGAUGAUUCUUGACCAAAUAUUUUAAGCUAGAUUUUCCAUAUGAUAUGUAUAUAUAUUCUAGUAGAUUCCUUGGAUUUUCAUAGCAAUUUUUAUACAGAUUUGGUUGUUGGGUAGUUGAUGUUUGAUUCAUCGAUACUGUUAAAUCACAUCUCUUUUUAUGAUCUUGCUCAUAUUCUCUCAUUACUUUUUAACAAAAUAAAAAAGAGAAGAUACUUGUUGUCUACCGUUUUGGUGGUUUAAUUUAACUGAUACCAAGAUGCUGUUUUUCUGGGUUAUAGUAGUAGUAGUACCUAUUGAAAGAAACCCCAUCGGAACAAAAUAUUAUAUUAUUAGAUGAUUUUGAAGUAAUAGUAGCAAAGCAUAGAACAGCAUUUGUUGGGUUUUGCAAUUUGAAAGCUUUUAAAAAAGGGAAGGGAUUUUAAAAAGAGGAGAAAAACAGAGGGACAGAGUUUAAAUCAGAAAUGAAAAAGAAGAAAGAGAGGAGGGUUUUGUGAUUUGGAGAGUCAGAUUUGCAAAUUUUUUAGUGUUUUUUUGAAGUGUGUUGGCUAUGUCUCCACAGCUGACUUGCUGACCCGGGCUCCGUGGGCUUUGCCGCCGACCAAGGAAACAGCCACUUUCUCUUAAACCCUCUUCCCAUUUAAGACCAAUCUCUUUUCUUUUCUCCCUUCUUUAAAAAUUUCAUUAACCCCUCUCCCCAUUUCCUCUUCUUUCUCUCUUACUAAGCUUUUCCUUUGGUUUUUCUCUGAAGAUUCCCCCACAACCUUCUUUCAAAUCCUCUUUUCUCAUUUCUCUAUGGUUCUUCAUUGGGGAUUCUGCUGUUUGCUGAAGUUUUGAGCUCAUCUUUUGGUGUUAUUUGUUGUUUGAGUAUUGAGGAAGAGCUUUUUUUUUGGGGAGGGGUGAUUGAGUAAACUUGAAGGUUAUUUCUUGGUUGUCAAGAUGAAGUUCAUGAAACUUGGAUCAAAACCUGAUUGUUUUCAAACUGAUGGGACCAAUGUUAGGUGAGAGAUCUCUUCUGCUUUCUUCAUUUACUCUGAUUCUCAUUCUUGUCAUAUUUUGUUUUGCUUUUUUGGCUUCUUGCAUUUCAAGUUGUGGCAGUUUCAUUGUAAUGACAUUUUACUUCGCUCCUUUUUUACUCUUUUACACUGUAAAACUCACUCCCACCUCACCGGAAACCACCGCUUACCGGCGGUGAGUUGGGGGAUCAACUAGAUAUUGCUGUUUUAAAAAGAAAUGGUCAAGUGGGAGAAAAGGGUGAUCGUGAAUAUUGAAGCUUUGGUUUUGUCAUUCACUUUUCUCUUUUUCAGAAUAACUGGCAAAAGCUUUUUCAAGUUCAUUUCCUUUUACUUCUUUCUAUGAUGGUUUAAUGGUUAAAUUUUUCACUUUUGCUCUCCCACCAAGUCACUGACUGGGUUCAUGACUGGGGCUUCUGAUAUAUAUUUUUUUUUCUUUUUUAGUGGACGGAUUUGAGUUCUCUUUUGCUUUGAUUGUGUGACAAGCCUAACUGCUUCUUGCUUUUCUAGUGUGAGACAGUCAUCAAAUUAAAAUUAAUAUAUGCAUCUCUGCUUUUCCUUUCCCUUGCUCUUAUUGGCUUUCAUUUAGAUGUAAACCUUUUCUUGAUUCACAAGGAGGGUCCAAACGUUAUUCAAUGGAUGAGUAUUGCUAUCAAACAUGGUUUGAUGUUGCAGGGUUAAGUAUCGAUUCAUAGGAUCUUCAGAAAAAUAGGAAUGUCUUAGGAAUAAGAACAGUGUAAAUAAGUUAAAAUUACUGAUGUUUUCAUAGGACAAAGCUAAAUAUCUUAAACACAAUUCAAAUGAUCAAAUACAUACUUUUUUCUUAUUUCAAAAAGAAAUACUAUUAUAAGAAUGUGACAUAAGUGUUGAGCAGUUAUUCUUACCAAACCCGGGUAAAACAGUUCAUAGAUUAUAGUUAUGUUUUUCGACUGCUUCAUCAGUUUAUACACACGUCGGAAAGAGAACAUAGAGAAUUGAGAUACCUGAUUACAUUUGAGAGAGCUACAUAGCUCAUUAAUGCUCAAAUGUUUAUUACAUGUACAUCAAGUUUCCAAGUAGAAUUAGAAAGUUGCUUACCAAACUAUGAAGCUAUUGCUUAUCAUUCUUUGGGGAAGGGAUCGCAUCACAUACGAUGGAAUUAAGUUCGAACGACUUUGAACUCGGUUGAAUGACCACACAUUAGAAAGAUGCUUUGAAAAAGACCUGGAAUCGUGAGCGAAAUAGCAUAUUUAUAUGCUGUGCCUCGAAUGGGUCAAGAGCAUGAAUUUAGUAGUAGGGAGAUUCCACAUUUUAACCAAGAUGGUAUUGAAUGUUCUUUUAACUCAAGAAUCACCUUUUUUUCUCUGUCUCUUAUGGGAACAAUAAGAAUCUUGCCACAAUGGAAUGUUGAAUAAUGGUUGUGCAUGUUCUUUGGUACAAUUGUCUACAUACACCUUUCUUCACUUCUUUUUAAAGCUUCAUUGCACGAGAAUUUUCUGUAGUGGAUGGAUGGUUCACUCUGAUGUAUAGUAGUUUCUUCUUUUGGAUUUGGAUGAAAUCUACUGCUACCUAUUACUAGCACGUUUUUAAAGCUUAAACAAAGUGUGGGCGUUGCCCGUUGCACUAAAAUUUUAGAAUUAACAUUUGAAUCUUAUAUGGUAGAAAUCAGAGUUAAUAGGGAAGUGAUACUCAAAUGAAACAAUCAGACAACUUUCUCAUUAUUUUAUUAAAAGAAUUCACAUUUAUGUUGCAGGUAUGUUGUCAGUGAAUUAGCUACGGACAUCACUGUUAUCGUUGGGGAUGUCAAGUUUUACCUCCACAAGGUGUGCCACUUAAUUUGAUUGCUCCUAUACGAAAGCGAACACACAAGUUCAGCAGGCUAACAUUUAAUAUAACACAUUAUUAUAAUAUGAGUAUCUUUAUGUUCAAAUCAAACUUGUAGUCAAUAAUACUGAUUUACUAUAAUCUCUUUUAAAAGCUGGCUUCUUUUAUGCAUCUUGACAUCUAGUUAUUCCUUACAUAUGGGUUAGUUGUACUGAUAAAUUGGUAGUACCUGCUUUUUUGCAGUUUCCCCUUCUGUCAAAGAGUGCUCACUUGCAGCAGUUGGUCACUGCGGGCACUGGGGAGCACAAUGAUGAAGUAUACAUUCCAGAGAUCCCAGGCGGUUCUGCGGCAUUUGAGAUAUGUGCCAAAUUCUGUUACGGCAUGACUGUUACUCUUAAUGCUUAUAAUGUAGUUGCAGCUCGUUGUGCUGCUGAAUACCUAGGAAUGCACGAGACAAUAGAAAAGGGAAACCUAACCUACAAAAUUGAUGUUUUCCUUAGUUCGAGUAUCUUUCGUAGCUGGAAGGAUUCAAUCAUUGUUCUUCAGUCUACAAAGUCACUAAUGCCAUUAUCUGAGGAACUGAAAUUGGUUAGCAAUUGCUUAGAAUCUAUUGCUGUGAAGGCCUCUGCUGAUAUUUCUAAAGUUGACUGGUCUUACACAUAUAACCGUAAGAAACUACCCGAGGAAAAUGGGAACAAUCCCAACUGGAAUGGUGUCAGGAAUCGUAGUGUGCCAAAGGACUGGUGGGUUGAGGAUCUUUGUGAGCUAGAAAUUGAUGUAUAUAAGCGUGUUAUAGUGAGUAUAAAAAACAAAGGAGUAGUCCCUAACGAUGUGAUUGGAGAAGCCUUAAAGGCUUAUGCUUACCGCUAUCUUCCAGGCUUUAGCAAAGGUGUGCUUCAAUGUGGGGAUCCGCUGAAGUAUCAGUCGGCAGUGUCCACAAUCGUCUGGCUGUUACCUGCUGAGAAAGGCAGUGUUUCCAGUAGUUUCUUGUCCAAAUUGCUGAAAGCUUCCAUUUUCCUAGCUUUUGGAGAUGAGACCAAAGACGAGCUCGUUCGACGAAUGGGACAACAGCUAGAGGAGGCUUCAGUGAGUGAUCUCUUGAUCCGAUCACCAGAAGGUGAAGCUAUGACCUAUGAUGUUAAUGCUGUACAGAAAAUGGUGGAGGUGUUUCUGUUGCAAGAUCAUAAUAGUGAAAUCGAGUCACUUGAAGAGGGAAAUGAGAUUCAGGAGCCAAGAGGGCCAGGGAUUUUGUCUGACGCUACUAAGUUGAUGGUGGCAAAAUUGAUAGAUGGUUAUCUUGCUGAGGUUGCAAAGGAUCCCAACCUACCAUCAGUAAAGUUCAUUGAUCUUGCAGAAAUGGUAUCUGGCAUCACUCGGCCUUCACAUGACGGGCUCUAUCGAGCCAUAGACAUGUAUCUAAAGGUACCAGUUCCUUAACUUCAACCUACUUGUCUUUCCACCUUGCUCAAAUCACAUAUGCACUCAAUUUAAUAUUGUUGGACUGAUUUACAGGAACAUCCAGGGAUCGGCAAGAGCGAUAAGAAGAGAAUCUGCAAACUGAUAGACUGCAAGAAACUAUCUGCUGAUGCAUGCAUUCAUGCGGUACAAAAUGAACGGCUUCCUCUACGUAUGGUUGUGCAGGUAUUAUUUUUCGAGCAAGUCAGAGCCUCAGCAUCAUCAGGCAGCAGCACUCCCGACCUACCUAAAGCCAUCAAGGAUCUUACAAGUGGAUCUCACAGCAGCUCAAGAUCAGCCACGACGAACCCCGAAGAAGAUUGGGAUGCCGUCGCCAUGGCUGAGGAGCUGAAGGCCCUCAAAGGGGAGCUAGCUUCCUUGAGGCUUGCUAAUGGUAGAGGAAGUAGUGAAAGAAAUGGGGAUGGUAAAAAUGGAAUUGACAAAGCAGCUCUUAGUAAAAUGAAAGGAUUGCUCAAAUCAAAGAAGCUUUUCACAAAGCUAUGGUCAAGCAAAGGAGGAGGAUACGGCGAAAACAGCGGGUCAGAUUCAUCAGAGAGCCUCGGUUCUGCUAAUCAGGAGGAAGCUAAGUCAACACCUUCAAGGAACAGAAGGCAUUCAGUUUCUUAGAAAGGUUCCAUUUUGGAGUGUUUAGUGAGUUGGGUGAACUCAUGAGUGGUUAAAAUGAGCAAGAAUGAAGUAUAUAUAGGUUAAGAGUCUGUAGUGUAUAUCAGUUAUUGCAGCAUUAUUACUAUUGAAGGGCAGUACCCAACCAAACAACAGCAAAAACAAAAACAAAAAAUGGAAAAAAAAGUUAUAUAUUAAAAAUAUGAGAUCUUUUUUCUUGUAUGGGGGGUUGUUUAAGUUAACUGAGAUUUGUUCACAAUGUUGAAAUCCCAUCAAAGAUGGAUGAGAAUCAUUCUCUAAUAUUGUUGAGGUGAAUCAAAUAAAGAUUGUCUUUGCCUAUAGGAGCAUUUUGAAUUAGCCUAUUGCCCCUCUUGUCUCCCAAAGAUGGUCGUAGGUUAGGUUUUUUGGUUGCAAAGAAUUUAUUCAGAUUUCUUAAGUUUUUUGCAUUGCUCUUAAAAGAAAAAGAAAAGGAAAGUCCUUGAUUGGAAGAAUCACAUAAAUAUCCAAUUGGGAUGCCAAGUUCUUUUUCCAUAUUAUAUGAACUUCAACCCAUUCAGAAAAUUUUGGUUUCUUUUACAUAUCAACAAUAGUAUAUGCCUAUAUGAAUUGUAUUAGUAACAUCUAAGAUGGUAAUUGACACUUUUAAUGUAAGACUUCUUUACUUUUAAUAAAUUUUAAUUAUGAUACAAAUUAGAAAUUACAUUUUUCUUUUCCCUUUUUUGUUUAGAUGUUUGAACCGAAAUUGAAACUAUACUAUUUGUUAUUUACUCUACCCUCUUAUGUCCUUUCAUUAGUAAUGUAUUUUCAAGAAGCCUUUAAGUUCAUAACUUUAAAAGAUUGUUAAAGAAACUAAGAAUAUCAUGUUAAUCUCAAUAUUUAAAAUAUUUAACUCCAGUCUCUAUACUUUAAAAUACUUAAUUUUAAUCUUUAAGAGUCACCUGUUAGUUUAAUGUUAAUUUUAAACUUACCCCUAAGAAACAUCUACAAGAAUUCCAUACGAAUCUUAUGAACACAUUCACAUAACCAAAUUAUAACAUUGUUAUUAACAAAUUUCAAAAGAAACUUUGUAUCCAUCUUCUGCCCUAUAUUAAAAAUAGGCAGUAAAAUGAAAACUUUUACAUCUUACACAUCACAAAAAUGACAUUACAGAUUACACCCUGAAAUUCAUAGAUACAACCUUCACAAAUAAACAGCCCCUUAGAUUUAUAACUACAAAGGUUUAAGAUAACGAAUUUUAGCUUUCCAUUUUCCAGAUAAAUUGAAGCAUGUACAUGAAUAUGUUUGUUUAAUACACAUAUAUAGCAACUAAAUAUGUUAUUACUUAGUAUUAAAAUUCAAUAAAAGAGAUAUACUGAAUCUACAUCUUAUAAAAAAUUAUUCGCAUUCCUUGCUACUUCAACUUCAUUGAAAGAGUACAUUAAAGAUCUAUGUAACAUACUAUGUAUUUUUUCAACCGUAUGGUAUUAAUGGAUAAAGUGGGAAAUGAUACUUCUAACUUUAAGGCUCAUGUGCUCAACUACGCUCCAAAAAAGAAUUUAGAGACUAAAGGAAAUAAAACACUAUCUCGUAAUUAUUUUCACUACAAUCACAAACUGAUUAACGAUACCAUAUAGCCUAAACCCUCCGAAUCCUAAACUGACUAGGCAUCACGCACAUCAAACAGGCUUAAGAACUGAAAAAUAAUAAUGGAAGGAAUAUAUGUCAAAAUAAUCUCAAGAAGCUCAAUUAAGAAACUUUAAAUGUUCAGAACAAAAGUGUCAAAAACGUCUUCUGACAAUCAUUUCAUAUUCCAUACUGAGUAAACAAAAGCAAAACAUGGGAAACCUUCUUCAAUGUAAAUUCAACCCAUUCUCUCUUCUAGGGAUAAUUAGCUUCUUAGCGGUACUGCACAAAUGGGAAAGUUCAAAGUUUAGAGAAUGUAGAAGAUAAAUCUGUGUGUGUAUGUGACAUCAAAUAAAUGAUGAUAACACAAAAUUAACUUGCCUUGAUGAAACCAAUUUCCUUGGCAUUGCUGCGGAAGCAUUGUCUGCAACACAUAAGUCCAUACUUCCUGAUCAACCCAUGGGGAUUUCCGCACACACGACUGAGAAGAGGAUUCAAAGAAAGGAGCUAUUGAAUUUCAGCUUUCUCAAAAGUCAACAAAUACUAUAGACAACCUUUAACCACCAAGGCCUCAUUUCCUAGCCAUUAGGUCUUUUUUUAAAAAAAAAAAAAAUUGAGCCUACAAACACUACUUCAAAUUUAAAUUUCUUGUUAUGUUAUUUACUUUUAACCAAUGAUUUAAAAAACCAAGCCAAAAUUUGAAAACCAAAAAAAAAAAUAGUUACUAAAAAUUUGGCUAAAUAUUCAACUAUUUUCCACACCAAGGUAAGCAAAAGUGGGAGGAAAUCUGCUUAAUUUGCAAAAUCCAAAAACCAAAAACAAAAAGGCUACCGAAUGAAGCCUAAGAGAUCCAUUAAGGAUAAAAAUGUGUUCCAUUACUCUUAGGUAGACUCAAUAACUUCUGGGUAACCGACAAAAAUUGAUCUAAUAGACGUAGGAACUAAAAAAACUCAACCAAGCAAAGUGAUUCAUUCGGAUUAAAGGAGAGAAGGAUAAAAUACGCAUAAAGUAUAAAGAUUUUCUCGCCUACUACAGAUCCCAUACAUCACAUAACAUCAGCUAUAACCUUUCAUCCGCCUUAACAAAACCAUGACAUAAUCGAUCGAUAUGUAAAUCCGGGUUCAAAUUAUAAAUCUUCUGCAAUUAGCGAAGCCUUUUACAACGCGAUAACAGAAACCCCAAAAGUCAACACAAACUUUUAAGCAUCACAAAAUCGAAUCCAAGUUGGAAAAACCUUUAGAACAACAGAUUAAACUUAAAGCCAUGUUAAAAUAUUAAAAAUCGAACUGAAACGUAGGUAUCUGGUUAUCUAUCAAAACAAGAAAAGUAAUACAUAAUAAAUAAAUCUUCAAUCAAACAAUAUUCUUCAGGUCCCAUUACGAAGCGCGCAAAGUUAAUAUGAGCUAAUCAGUUGAUGAACUCUCAAGUCGUUGAAAUAAACUAGACACAAAAAAAAAAAAAAGGAAACAUUGUGUUCGAGAUUCAUGUUCCACCAAUAAAAAGUAGAUGAGUGAGAAGAUAUUUGCUUACCAAGUGCGAGAACCAGGUCCAUAGUUCUUAGGAUGAGAGUUCCAAACGUUCGAGUGUCCCAUGAUUGUUAGGGUAUUGAGAUGCUCCGAAAUCACAACGUGAAGCACAAAAUUUUGUGAGGAAGGAGAAGCCGGCAAAAAGGAUCCAUUUUAUAUGAGAGAUAAACCCUAAUUUUUGUGGUGUUUUUACUAUUUUAACCCCCUGUGGAAUUGCCCGGCCCAGCUUGUUGAUGGUCCGGUCCAUUUUUUUUCUCUUACUUCUAAUAAUUAGGAAUAAAUAUAAAUAUAGACAUUUGAAGUAGAAAAGGACAAUAGCGUAACUUCACAAAUUUUUCUUUUUAAAAAAGACGUAAUCUUUACCAUUAUUUAUUUUUCUCUCUGAAAUUUUCCAUAAUGUACUUCUCUUAAUUAGAAGCUGCAGAGUCGAAGGUAGUCGUGAAAUUCAGUGUGAUCAUCAAUGGCGGAAAAAGCCGGUUCAUCUUCUUCCACUUCCAACCCACUGGUACCCUAAUCAAACUCAUUCCUUCAUGUUCUCUUUGAUUGCCCCAAUAAUUCCUACUUCUUUUCUAUAUUUCUAUCUAUUUAUUGAAUCGCUGAUUUUGUCUAAUGUUGUUUUACGUCUUCUCUAGACACUAAUAAUCGAAGAUGAAGUUGAGGAAGAACUUUUAUACGGUGCCGGAUCGGGAUGGGUCCAAGCUCUGACUUCUUGCGAUCAUCUCGCUUCCUUAUCAUCCGACCUCGCUCAUAUUCCGCCCCCUCAGACUCCCUGUAGCCAGUCAGCUUUUCUUUUCCCUAAACUAUGUCUUUAAUUCUUAUGUUGUUCUUCAUCUUAAUUUUCGAAUGUGUGUACCUUUUCAGUUUCAUUUCUAUUUCUCCUGAAGGAAGAUGUGCUAAUUUGAUGUUUUGAUUCUUUGAGAUUUUGCUCCAUCAAUCGAAUUCUUAUUGUUUUUGGCUGAUAGUUGGUUUAAAUCCUCUUUUAGAACUUAAAUUUUAAUCCCUAAACUUUCAUUAAAUCCUAAUAAGUUAAUCGAAAUGAAUUGAACUCCUGACUUAAAUCAAAGUCAUGUGGUAUUUAUUAUUAGGCCAACCCAUGAUAUUGAUGGUUAUCUGAAAGAUCAGUCUUUUUAAUAUGAACAGUAAAGAUUUAAAAUUAAGUUUUCGGAAUGGAGAUUUAAAAUUAAGUUUUCGGAAUGGAGGCUUUUAAGCACAAGAUGUUGUCUUUACCACUAAGGCUAUCCUUUGAAGUUAGUGUUCCACUGAUAUCAUGCAAAAAAAUUGAAGUUCUUCCAUUUCAGCUAGACAUCUUCUUUCAGUGGCUCUAUAUCAGUACAUUAGAUGUUUUAUAAUCAUAACAUCCACACCAAAGUCGAGUUCUUUUCUGUCUAUUUUUCUAUGAAUUGUACUUGACGUAUUAUUUCGUCUAAUUUUAUAGUGCUUUCAGAUGGAUUGUCGUGUUUUUAUUUGGGCUUAUUUCCAUGAUUUGGAUAAACGCAUUUCUAUUUGGUUUAUUAAUCCAUGGAACAAUCUACAUAUGCAAGAUGCCAGAAUCCCAAGGAGAAUUGGGUGUGUUUAUGCUGUAAGGAUGUCUUUUGUAGUCGUUUUGUGAAUAAGCACAUGCUUCAACAUUAUGAGCAAUCAACUCAUUGUCUUGCACUCAGCUACAGGUGAAUGUAAAAUGGUUCCUUAGAUUCUACUCUAAUUAUGAACAUAGGUUUGUGAUGUUCAUUAAUAAUUUGCAUUUGGAAACAGUGAUUUGUCAGUUUGGUGUUUCUCCUGCGACGCAUAUUUAGAUGCACAAGUGAUUCAGGAAUUACGACCAGUACACGAAGUUGCCUACAUACUGAAAUUUGGCGAGGCUCCACCAUUUCGAUAAUAUCAAUCAUCCUGCACUGGGGGAACUGAAAUAUCUGAUUAUUAGUGUUAUAACUUUUCCAGUCUCUACUUAUUAGAUGUUUUGAUUUCUUGGUCUGUAUAUGUCAAGCAAAUGGCUUAUGAUCUUCACAUGAAUUAGGUUGGGUUGUCAAAUGUUCAUGGUAAUUUGGUUGUUCACUUUACAGAAGUGAGGGAUAGAUUAGAAUCUCAUAUCUUGUUCAAGAAAAUUUUAAGAAGCUUUUACUUGAAAAUGACAAAAUUCUUGUUUCAAACCUUGAUGAUAACAUGAAUGAAAUUGGUUCCCAACUUUUGUCACUCAUCAUUUUUCGCAGAUGUUGGCGUUUUGGCCCGAAGAAACUUCGCUUCUACUUUGGUUGCAAAGAAAACUCGACACAGCUUCAUUUUAUCUUAUUUUGAAUAAGAAACAGUUCCAUUGGUGGCUUCAAAUUACAAGAAAAACAAGGGAGAAAACUCUCAAAGGAGAGAUUACAAAAGACAUUUUUAAUAAAGCAAUUCUAAUCCAUAGAUGAAAGUCGAACCUUUUAGGUUGGAGAUCUAGAAACUUGUUCAAAAUUGAGUUACUCCACGAUCAAACUUAAUCAAAGUUAGAUUAAAUUACUUGCUUGCAUUCUAUCAUAAGAAUAGAAAAUUCUAAGGAAAAAGACUCAACAUGAGAUUUCAAAUUUCAUUCAUCACAAGUCCUAUAUGCUUACAAAUAGAAUUAUAAAAGGCUUUAUAUAUAACCUCGUGGAGAUUCUAAUAUAACUAAAACUAUCAAAAAGUUUAAAGAAGUUCUCCAUCUUAUCAUUAAUGCUAUUUCAUUGAGCCAGAACUAAAACAUUUCAAGAAUAAAUUGAAUGCUUCACUUUAGUUAUCAUGAAUGUAAGAAAAAUUAGAAAAAGAAGAUAAUUAUGAACUAGAUAUCUUCUCCAUUGACUCAGCAAAAUGAUUAUAUGAUUUAGGUUAUGAUAUUUAUGUACCACGAGUAAACGUAUUUGCAAGUGUAAUUACAUUGUAAAUGUAGACCUCAACGUGCUAUAGCUAGUAUCAAUGUCUAUCUUCUUCCCCAAAAUUUGGCAAGCUUCCGAGCACGUCGCAGGCGCGUUGCUCACACUCCAAUUUGCCCCAUCUUGCAUCGACACGUUCACACGGGAAUAUUGGUUUUCCAAGACUGCAGUGGUAAUCAUUGAAAAGCGGCUAAUCAGAUUAACACGAUAUAAAACACACCCGUUUAAUUGGUUCAAACAGACUAGACAAUGUGUAAACUUCAACUCUACUGCAACAGUAGUUCAUUAAUGAAAAAUAAAGGAGAAAUGGAAAGUCUCUUGUAAGUCAACUAAGUGAAAACUAGGAGUUAAACAUAAAUUAUAUAAUUGAAAAUAAAUGAUCAGAUAUUGAAUCGUUAAAGUGAAUGCAAAAUUUGUGGCAUAACCUUCUGUUGACAACGUUAUGUACACGGCAUAGCCAUCGGGAGAAAUCAGCAUGAGAUCCAGUCUCUACGGGGUUUGCCCUGUCAUACAAUCAACAAAAAAAAAAAGGUGUAAUGCUACUUUACAACGCCAACUUAAGCAUAAUACAUACGAGUAGAAGACAUCUUGUAAUCCCAUAAAAUGAUAUUCUACAACCAAAGUUGAUAUUUUACAUUAAAAAUGUAUUGUUUUUCCUUACUAUUUUCUUAAGAAAUUAUAAAAGAUAUUCAUUCAAAUUUUAGCAAUUGACAAAUACCAGGGUGUCUAGCAAGUACAAAUCAAACAUGAACAUCUAACAAAGCUAAGGUUCCAAGCUACACUCACAAGGGCAAGGCAAGGGCUGCCAGGCUGUAUCAGUAAACAAAUAACUAACACACUGUGUAAGGAGAGGAUAAAUGAUGUACCUUAGAACUUCUUUGAAGUGGUCGGCACAUUCUCCACAAGGGUACAUGCGAGAUAAUAUUGCCAUCUGCACACAAAACACAACUUAUUCCAUGCAGUCAUUGUCCAUGCCUUAUCAUAAGCUCAACGAUCAGUUUCCCUCGGUUAGAGACAAAUUGAUCAAAGCUUUCAAAAUCAAAUUCCAUAUCUCUGAAAGGGAUUAUGGAGUGGGAUAAGAGACCUACACAUGGUAUUAAAAGGGUACCCUACCAAUUCUUUUACAUCUUUCUUCUGCUGCCUCGUUGGGUGAUCUGGGUACUGGAAAAAAUUAAAGGUCAACAGUCCCAUAGAUUCAAGUGAAAGACAUGGAAUAAUUUAUAUUGAAUUAUUUUCUCUAGAUUUUUUUUAAUAAGAAAAAAUUUCAUAAAUUUAUGAAAUAUCUAAAGAUAUCCAAAAGGGCCUAUUCAAGGGUAAUACAAAAGAUGCUUUACAUUAGCUACAUGAUUCAAAAGUUGAAAGAAAAGAGGUCCUGAUUGUCUACAGUCAGAAGAAGGGGAAAGUGUUCAAAAGAUGUUUUCUCUUGAUACUUGAACGGGGUAAAAGUUUGUUUCUUCACAUUAGAGAUAGAAUUAACAUUUAUGGAGGGGGGACAGAAAGCCAAGGAGACUACGUAAACAACUUCAGAGUUCAGAGAAGAGUCUGAAGAAAAUGAAGAGUUACAGAGUUCUCUUAGAAAACACAACAUAAAGGGGCGAAGUAUCUCACUAAUUUCCAAAAUUAUCUUUGCUCUUUUCCAUAAUAAUUAUAUAUAUCAAUAUUUAUACACAUGUAAAUAAAUAAUAGAGAGAGAGAAAUUUAAGAGGCAAGUGAUUGAAUACAAAAUUAAGAAGAUAACAUAGUUGAGAAAACCUGAGCAGCAAGGAUGUGAAGAAAAGUCCAGGUAGCCCUUCCAAGUACUUCCUUAGUUACAGGUGCAGCAGGCUUUCCUCAAUAUAAAGUGUCAAAUCAAAACCAUAUCAAGGAGAGAAUUUCAAAUUCUGCUGUAUACGCAUUAAACAGAGAAGAAUUUAACCAAUUAAUUGCAACUGGAGCGAGUUUAAAAGUUUUUCGAUAGUGAGUAACACGAAGAAUCAGCUUCUCUAACGACAUUAUUGUAUCCAAAACUCCACUUUUAUAUUACAUUGAAAAAUGAUACCUACAAAGUCAUGAUUGUGGGAAAUAAAUCACAAUCUUUACAAAGCAUUCUCUAACUCAUUUCAAGAAACUCGUUUCUCAACCUAGAAUAAAAUCUUAAGAAGAUACCAAGUAAAACUAAAAACACGAAAUCCCAGAUGACCUAAAGGAUUUAUAAACAAGAUGGACAACAACCUGGAGAGGGGAAAUGAAAAGAUAAUUGUCUUUUCUCUAUCAGAACUUUAAUCAAACACUUACAGGGCAUCAAGUAAAUCCACGAAGACAACACCACUUUAAGAUUGAAAUCCAAUAGCAGAAUACAGAAGGAAAAUGAAUGAAAAGAAAACAAAAAAAAUACCGUAUGGAUUACGUCAAUAGAUUGCAUAGAAGUUGUGUCAGGAUAGGAGGGAGUUGCAUAGGAAGACGAAAAUGGAGAAGAAAGAGGCUUAUGGUUGGAGCGUGAAUGAGGGGUCGAAUGGGAGAGAAGAUUGGAGAGAUGGGUUUCAAUGGAAGUAGAAAUCUUUUGAGCAAUUUGAAAGAGAGAUUGGAUGGGAUUCUCAGACAUGCUUGGAAUCAGGGCGGGAAAGGGAAGCAGUGUGGAUGUUAUCCGAUGCUUCCAAAAGCAAAGGGCGUUCGUAAGUAAUCAAUCGUUCAAAAAUUAUAUCAAUAUUUAAACGUUUUAAACUUUCAUAUUUCAAAAUAAAAUAACCUUCGAUCUUUUGUAGUUAAAUCCAUAAAUAUAUUAAUAAUAAAAAGUUGUGUUAUGCUUUGUUUCUUUUUCCUUUUUAAUAUUAGUUAAAUAAAUGAGAGAAAAUAUUGUAAGAAAAAUAAUAUUUUUAAAAAUAGUAAAAUAAAUUAAAAUAUUUAUAAAUUAUAUCAUAAUACAUAAAUAAAUAAAUAUAUAAGAGAAAGAAAAUAAAAUACAUUUGUAGACUUUGGGUUGUAAAUAAAAAAAAAAAAAAAAGAAAAUAGAAAGAAAGGAAAAGGGCGCACGUGCGUAAUUGAAUAACGAUACGAUUGGCGGAAGACAGACACAAUCGCAAGAACACCCCGUCGGAAGGUCGCUGUUUUUGCUUUUGGUCUCCAAUCUCCGAAUCACCCAAAAAUUCCAAUCCAAACCCAUUAAACAAUUUACACAAAAUCAUCUUAAUUUUACGAUUCUUCAUUCACAAGACGGCGCAAUUUCAUUUCAAUUCUUUUGUAAGUAUCUGAAUUCGAAUUCUAUGAUUCCCCUUACUAAUGAUUAGGGUUUUCACUUCCAUCUUCCAAUUUUCAACUUUGAUUUCAAUGCUUUUUAUCCUUCAUUUCUUUUGGGGUUUUACUUUUUUUUUUUUUUUCAUUUUGUUUGUACAAUGAUUCAAAAACCCAACUCUUGUUGCCUUACGAUUUGGCUGCAAUCCAUUUUUUAAAAAAAAAUUGUUUUGUUUGUUUCCAGCUGUUCUUUACUUUGGGGUUUCUUCCUUCUGAUUCCCAAACUUCUACAAUUGGUAUUCAAAUGCUUCAGUCAGAUAUUGGGAUGUCAAUAUUGUUUUGAAUACUUAAGCUAAGCUGUGAAAAUUAGGGUUUCUGGCUUUCUGAUCAAAGAUUUAUUCUGCGGUUUUCUCAGUUUAUCUGUUUUGUUGGUGGAGGAUUCCUGAGGGCUUUGUCUCAAAUUCAGCCAUUGCUGGAAUUGCGGCUCUGAAAAUGCUUCCCAGGAAAGACACUUCUCGUAUAGACACUUCCGAGCUGAAAGCGAUGAUAUAUCGAAAGCUUGGGCAUCAGAGAUCAGAUAAAUACUUUGAUCAGCUCAAGAAAUUGUUAAGUUUAAAGACCAACAAAAGGGAAUUCGACAAGUUUUGUAUUCAGAUUAUUGGGAGGGAAAUUAUACCUCUUCAUAAUCGGCUUAUUAGAGCGAUUCUUCAAAAUGCUUGUGUGGCUAAAACUCCCCCUGUUCUUAGCAGUACAAGGAAAGUUGGAGGCAAUCUCAGUGUAAAGGUUGUGAAUGGAUAUCAAAGGAGUUGUCUUCAAUCACUUCAUGGGGAUGCAUUCCUUUCUUCUCCUCGAAAGGGUAGGUCGCCGGUUAGUAGAGACCGUAAGAUUCGAGAUCGUCCAAGUCCUUUGGGACCAUGUGGGAAGCCACAGAAUAUGGCACUUGAAGAAUUUGCUUCUAAGGCACAAGAACAGCAAAGUGCCACAGAGUUACAUUCUCUUGGCAGCCGUCCUCCCGUCGAAAUGGCGUCUGUAGAAGACGGAGAAGAGGUUGAGCAGGUGGCUGGAAGUCCAGGAGUUCAAAGCAGAAGCCCAGUUACUGCUCCGCUUGGUAUCUCGAUGAACUUCAUUGGUUCCGGUAAGACUCUCUCCAAUGUUCCCGUUGGAAGUAAUUACCAUGUAACAACAUGCCAAGAUGUUGGCGAGUUACCAGACACGAGGUUGCUGAGAACUCAUUUAAGGAAGAAGUUGGAAACGGAGCAGAUUGAUAUAUCUGUAGAUGGUGUAAACCUUCUUAACAAUGCAUUGGAUGUUUAUUUAAAGAGGUUAAUCGAGCCAUGUUUGAAUUUCUCUCGGUCAAGGUGUGAGCGACUGAAAUUUACAGGCAAUCAACCAAUAACUGGCUCAAGAAUCACAUUCCAGGAACAACAUCGGCAUCGAGCUCAACAAUUAAAUAACGGAUCCUUGUUGGACUUCCGUGUUGCAAUGCAACUGAAUCCUCAAGUACUUGGGAGAGAGUGGACGAUGCAACUCGAGAAAAUCAGUUUACGAGCUUCUGAAGAGUGAGCUGACCAAAUCUCACAUCAGAAAAAGUAUAGUAGGGUCUGAAUAUAUAGUCAAAAGGUGAUCGAUCAUAUAUUGUGAAUAAUUUGUCGGGUUCUGUGUCUUUCAAAGUCCCUUGCUAAUUUUUGCGAUUCUUGUGAGGAUAGGUUUUCAGAUCCAUUAUGAGCCUUAAAUCAAGUUGAUUAGGUUACAUGUAGAUAAAAGGCUCUAAUGAUCAUUUGUCUUGAGGAAUAUGUUUAUGGUCUAAUAAAGGCAUACAACUUCACUUGCGCCUGCGUGACGAUCGGAUCCUCUUUUCACUCUUCUUUCCAAUCUCCUUGGAGAAAAUGUAAUAUAAUCUGAGAAGUAGAUGUAAUGAAAUGUGGAGCCCAUAGCUCAUAAAUUCAUAAUCAACAAAAACAAUGCGAAAUGAGAGAGACAAGUUCGUUUGCAAUGUGAUUGAAAACAACCCAAUUAUGUCAACGGUCAAGCAGAUUCUAAAUUGCGAAGUAAAAACAAAUUAGAUAGAAAUAGAAUUUUCACUUUCUACAAAUAUUAUAUACCAAGCAAAUGCUAAUUGAGAUUCCCAAAAGGUUCUUCAAUUCAUACAUCUCUUUACUCAUAAAAAAGUUUACAAUUAUAUUAACUAGAAAAGAAUCUCUCUCUCCCUUCUUCCUAAAAAGCUAAGCAACUUCCGCUUCAAAAACCACUUGUUUCUUCAUCCUAGAAAAUUGGAAAAGGGACUGUCAUCAAGAUCCUGUCUGAACUUAACCCUUCAGAUAAAAUGAUCAAAUCACGAGACAGCUUUCUCGAGGCUCGCCAUAUAUGUCAUGUAAACUGUCCACACAUACGAAAAAGAAUUGCUCACCAACGCCUGCACAACCAAACAAGAACACAAAAACACCAGUCAAAACCACAGCCAGAGAAGAAGAUAUGAGAAAAUCAGAUCAAUAAAGAACAGAAUAUACUUGAAGAUGAACAGGGACAAAUCUAAACGUGAUGAAAUCGCAAACUGGCCAGUACAUAACGCCAUUAAGCAUUGUAGGAAGCAAGUCUCGUUUCAAUCGGGCAAUAAUUUCAGCACCACUUUCACCUAUGCUCAAUGAAACCAAACCAUCCUCAGUCAUUUCAAGUUUUAAGAACUGACGCAGGUUGUGAAAAAGAGUGUAUACCUUGGAGAAAUGCAUUUAAGGAGAAGAAAAUGGCUGUCAUGAAAGGGCCAAAGAGACCUUGGCCCAUGGCCAUUUUCUUGAAGGUGGAGAAUAGAUCUUUCUGAGGGAAGAGUUUUGACAUUAAGUUGAACCAGUAAUGGAGAGAUGGCCCAAGAACCAGCAUACCAUAUCCAGCCAUCCGUACCGUUCGAAUUAAAUCAUAUGACUCUGACGAUGACAGAGAAAUGGUCUGAAAGAAAAUUUGAUUCCUAAAUCAGAUCACCAUUGUAAAAGAAGAAUCUUUAAUGAAGGAGAGGUUUGAUUAGUAAACAAGAACAAAAAUCGCAAUGAUGAACAAAAUGGAGAAAGAAAGAAAUGGAGAAAAUAAAACUCUUCAAAGAAAUUUCUAUUUACAACCGCCCAAAAUGUGGACCCCCAUUAGAGAUAAACAUCAACCCCCUCCCGCGAAAAUCCAAAAACAAGUAUACCAUCAAGAACAAUCAAAUUAAAGAGAAAACAUCUCAUCCAAGAAACUUUCCUUCCCAAACAAGCUAAGUAGAAACAAAACAUCACAUCAACAAAUCCAUGAGAUUCCAUUUCAAAACAUCAAACUCAAAACAACCAGUUGCAAGCUCCAAAACUAUUCACCUGAGACGACAAAUCAGCAGCCGUGUAAAUAAUCGCAGAAGUGAUACUCUUAGUAAGAACAGGACGACAUUUGAUCAUCGCCAAAUACCAUUCAAGAAACUCAACCUUCACAAUCGAAAAAAACGAUGAAGCAGACGAGUGCUGCCCCGACGAAAAAACACCAACCUCCUUCGCCUUCCUGAAAGAGUCCGGCAAACGGAAGUACGGCCGAAUUGGUUGAUUUUGCUUCCUCACGAUCGCAGUAGCUUCAAAAGCCGCCUUAGAACCUUUCAAGUGAGAAAAAUGGCGAAAAUGUAACAACCCAGAAAUCCCAGAGCUUCUCCGCAAGGCGCCGAUCAUCUUUUUAGGGUUUACGGGUAAAAAUGGGAAGUGGGGUUUGAAAUUUGAAGCGAAACAAAAGAAGAAACAGAGAAAAUUUUGCGCCUUUUCGGUCACAUUCAUCACGAGACACGAGGCUUUUAUAUUACAACUCUACCAAUAAGAAAUCUUUUCUUUUCCCACCUGCUCGAGUAUGAUUUUAACGAUACUCGCCAUCGUGUCCACACAAAAAACAUUUAUUGUUUAAUUUUUAGGGCUUAUUCUUUAUUGUGAGUAAAACUUUUAGGCAAAGGGAGAGUGUUAAGUUCAAUUUGGAAACUGCGAGUGGGUGUGGAUUUUGAGAAAGAAAAGGGUUUUCUUCAGUUAAUUUGGGAAGGCGACGCGUUUGUUUUAUAAGCCACUGAUUUUGUGCCACGUUUUAAGAGAAGUCGACACGUCGACUUGAUGGUUUUCUUUCUCGACUUGUCGGUCAGUUGUUAUGAAAUUGAAAUUUGGCAAACACAUUUUUUAUUUUUCUAUCUCUUACGUUUCUUUCUACAAUUGGAAGUGUUUUGAGUUUUUAUACAUCGAAAGAGUAUGAAUUUUGUUAAUAACUUUUUUUGCUUUGGUUAUAUUGAAUCUUUGCAUUGAUAUAUUUACCUUCCAUUACAAAUUUGUUGUCAAUUUAUUAUUCUUUUUAAGAAUUAUUUAGUUAAUAUUGCAUUUUUAUUUUUACUAUUUAUCCGAACACAAACUUUUCAACUCUAUAUUUAUUAAUUUUCACUAGUCAAAUGUACCUUAAAUUUUUAGAUUGUAUUUGAGACACAAAAUAAGUUUAAUUGACUCAACGAUGAAAAGAUUGAUGUAUAUAUAAUUGAAAUUGUGGACGCUCUAGAGAAGUUGGAAGGUGACAUUUUUUUCUUAAACAUUUGCAAUGUAUUACUAAUAUCGUCAAAAUAUCAUUUUAUGGAUAUAUCUUCGAUAACUUUACAAAAAUGUUAAGAUACUGUUGAAUAUUGUGGAUAAGUUGUCAAAAUAUUGAUAAUGAUGGUAAUCCCUUAACAAAUUUAAACUCUUACAUUCCUAAAAGAUCAACUAAUGAUGAUGCCUAAGUUUAUGAAGACAGGCUUGCUGCUUAAUGUAUGAAGAGGGAGUUUCAACAGUCUACAUUCUUCAAAGUAUAUCCUCACUAUGAUACAAUAUGCUUGAUCCAAGGUAUCCUUGCAUUAGAAUCAUUGAAGUCAACAUUCUUUCAGUAAUGUUAGAAAUUUUGACCAUAUACAACUUGGGAGUAAUAUUGUUCCAAGCAAAAUAUAUAUAUAUAUAUGCUAACGUUAGCCCUAGUAACUCAUAAGCCAUUAGCUUAGACUUUAUAGAUGGUAUAUUCAAUUUAUAGUCAAUUUUCAGUUGUCACUAUCAUCUAUUAUUCCAUUACUAAUCAAAAUUAAUUUACAUGCUUAAAGUUUAUAGUUUAUUAUUUAAAUACACUUCUAUGGUUGGCAACGUUUCCUACGUAGUCAAAUCCCCGGGUUCCAGUCUCGAUCAGGAUGGAGAAUCCCCAAUUUGAUCGGAGAUGGAGAUGGUGAAACUGGGUCUCCAAACUAGGGAUGGGGUGGGUAUCCCACACCACCAUGAAUGAAUGUGUAUAGAUAUCAAAUGUGAGACAUAUAUAUAUCAAAUGUGAUAAACGUCUCAUUGACAAAACAUUCAAAGUUCAAGGCCACCAGUUCAAAACUAAGCUUGUAAUUUAACACAUAAUUAAGCCAUAAUUCUUGAAGUUACGGUAAAUUUUUUUCGUUCUAUCUUCUACCGAAUAAUAAAACAUAUUUGUUACUCACAAACACUGUCAAAACUAACAUUUGCAACCACAGCUUAUUAGGCAUCAGCAAUUAUUCUACAAUCAAUCUAUUUCAAUAUCUUGAAAGGUUAACCGUUCACAAUCUCAUAACAUGAGAAGGAAAAACAAUUCCAAUUAUUUAUCAUAAAGGAGCGAUUAUAGGCAAUAAGAAAACAACAUUUAAAAAUUCCAAAUAUGUGUUUACUGAAUUUUUAGAAAACAACACUCCAAACAGACCUAAUAAUUCACAUCGCACCACUUCAUUAAUAGAACUUGAAAACCUAACCAAGUUAAUUGUGACAUACAGAAACUUAGCUGUUUUGCAAACAUCGCUUUAAGCAGGCUGUAACACAUUGUAGCAUGCAGAAGUAUAGCAAGUCACAAUGUAUCAGAUCAAGUACAAAUUUGAUAUAUUAUGUUCUGUAAACACACACCUUGAAUAAGAAAACAACCCAUCUCUCAUUCAGUUUCAAUGUAGAGUUGUCACUUUUGAAGAUGGGGGAAACAGGUGAAAACAUCAGAUUUGGGGUGUUUUGCUUCAGCAUGCUCCCUACAUUUCACCUCUGAGGUGGUACACAUGAAUGUUUGCAUGCACACCUUGCACUGUAGAAUCCAAAGAUCAGUUCGCUCAUCAGUGUUCAUAAUAAGGAAUCUACUAUCUAAUCAUAAACUUUCAAACUUUUCUUGAGUAAGUAGUCUUAAUCGAAAUUAAAAAAGCGAUGGCAGUUAUUACAAGCAAAAAUAUAAAUCAUUGCACACAUCGACGGGAUGAAAUGAAGUUCAAAAUUUGAAGUGUAACCCAACAAGUGAAAUCAGAGAAGAUUCGCGAGAAAAAAUCCACUAGAGUGGAUUCCCAUGAGAUGUUCCUGAAGUUCAAAUUUUGAAAUGUAAACUAAAAAGUGAAAUCAGAGAAAGAUUCACGAUAAAAAAGUCCACUAAAGUGGAUUUCCACAAGAUGUUCUUGAAUCAAAGGCUUGAAAUAUUUACAGGUAUGAUAUCUUCUAGUGAAGAUCAACCCCAAAAUUGAGAAGUAACUAUAAUUUCAAACUUUUGUUUGCCCGGAGCUGACUUUGGGGUGGGCAAAAUCCCCAAUGUGUGACAAAAGCGGUAAAAAGUACAAAAGAAUGGUGGGAGAAGAUGGGAACUGGAAAGGAUUUUGAGAUAAAACUUUUCGUUUGGAAGUUGUAUUUUGGUGAGAUGCUCCAUUUACUAGUCGGACCUAUAAUAUCACUAAGAGGUUGUUUGGCCCCAACCUUCAUAAGUAUGUUUUGCACAUUUAUUGAGAAACCACUUUUUCUCUUUUGUACGUUUAUCAAGGAACCCUAUCUUCACAACUCUACACCACAAACAUAGAUUCACUAACUUCAUACUUCAUCACUUAAUUCAACGCCCUAAAGGGAUUGGAGAUACAAUCAAAAGUAUGCAUAUUCAACUUCUUACAUUAUACAAUAUUUCAUGUUUAAACAUUGACAAGGAUGUGCAUUAUUUUAAAAAUUAUUUUAUGGAUGAAAAAGACGAAAAGGAGUCUCGAAAAGAUACUAGCAAGAAGAAAUAGACAAAUACAAUAUUCGAAGAUGUAAAUGAUCAGCAUUAUUGAAGGCACCUAGUCUAAGCUCCUAGAGACGGAUUUUAAUCCUUAACCAUCAUUCCAAAUAACUAACUAAAGAUCUGUCAAAAAGGGUCUACCGUGCCCAAAUCAGUCACAAGAGAUUUGCAAUAAAAACCGAAGAGGAAUCAAUAGGCCAAAUCCAGGAGUCAAGUAAAGAUCGCAAUCUGAUAGUACACAUGUUGAGAUAAGAAUGUCCAUUCCAAAAUCCCCAACUAUGUAAGUAAGAUUACGACAUAAUUGAAAAUCCCAAGCAUUUGUAAAUGGAAUCCACACAUUAGCCACGAUAACCUCUACACAGAGUAAGACGAAAAAGUUGUGGGAAGACACAAUAAAGAAUACCACAACUAAGCCAAGAAUCGUUCCAAGAAAAUCUGGUAGAGCCAUCACCAAGCCGAUGUCAAAUACGACCAACACCAUAUCAAUAGUCUGACAAAUAAUCCUCCAAGGAGAACAAGGAGAGAUAGCUGCAAAAACCUCUUCUUUAGUAAGGGGUCAUUCAAGAUUACUUGCCGCAGAGGCAAUAGGACUCCACUCUAAAUUAGUGGGAAGGAAACGUUGAUUACUGUCCUUAGUGAAUAAACUCGACAGAAAUUCAACCUCAAUGUCAAGUGCUAACAAUAAACUAACUCAAUCUUGGGAAAGAAUGUCAGAUAUCAAGCUUUUACGUUAGCAAGCAGCAAUAAUACAGUGGAAAAACUGAGUAAUUUCAUGCCCCUCAAGAAGCCACUUAAGUUUACAAUGUUGUUCCUAUGCAGUGAGACAGUGAUGAAAGAAGAAAAGGGGUUAGUUGGGUAAUUAGUUAAUAUUCUAAUUAACUUUAGGAAACUGUUCUUUGUUUCUCAUUUUAUUGAAAUCACUACCAAUCAUGUUUUUGUUUAAGGUAAAAAAGAAAGAACAAAAAACCAGAAAUAAGAAACAAUUAAAGAAGAGGAAAAUAGAAUCAUGAAUUAAUAAAAAAAGAAACGAGAAACGAAAGUGUUACUUAACGGGCCCUUCGUCUAUACUUCCACAUAUUAUAUGAUUGAAUUUUCCCUUGUAAUAUGCUCAGGUGAUGAUCACAAAGAUACCAACAAAUAAAGCUGGGACAUUGAGAACAAAAAGCUGAACCAGUUGAGUGGAAAUUGGAUAGUAAAUAUAAGAUCGGUGUAAGUUUUCCUAUAUUCCUACAGUCCCAGGUCUUAGAUUAACCCUAUAAUUUAGACUGAAAGAAUGACUACCAAAGGAGUCGAUGCACAUAUCUCCUCUGAAAGUCGUACUACAAUGAUAAAUCAUCCCAAGUUGGAGUAAGAGACAUUGGGGUAUAAAUUUUCAGGGUAAAAAAGGUCCAUGCUGGGAUCACUCAAUUAGAUCUACUAGCUGGCCCUCUCCAAACACAAGCACCCUUCUUCCCAUGAUAAUGGCAGCCAUCCAUUCAAAAAGAGUAGGUCCUCUAACUACACCUAAUAAAGGCCUUUUCCAGACCCUUUGGCUUGAAAGAAAUCAUAGAACCUUCAAAUAUAAAGCAAACUCCUUUGAUUCGUUUACAGACUUCUUUAUCCAUUUUGGCUCUCUCAUAGUGUAAACUUCUCCUUUCCACAAUGACAGUAUUAACAGUGUUU